AGUUAUGAGGUUCCAAAGUUUGUUAGAACGCCGGUCAUCCAGACUUAGGCAGAUUUUCCAAGUUUGCUGAUUUUCAGGGUUUUGGCUGUCUUUUAUCCGAUUUUUGAAUGUUUUCCUGAUUGAAUUAGGACAAGGUGUUAUUGAUAAAGUUGUUUUAUAGACUGAUUACUAAUACUCUUAUAAAGGGUUUUUCUUAAGUUUAGUGUAAGUUUUGUGAGUAAAAAUCUUGCCAAAACACAAACUUUGAACUGCUCUCAGACUUAGCACAUUUUUGGUGUUCUGGCUGGGUUGACCAUUUUUGUCAACUUUGACCUAACUUUUGAAGGGUUUUUGUGCAGAUUUUGGCCAAACUCCAGUAAUCAAAAUUGUUAAAGACUUGUAGCACUAAAACUUUUAUAUAAGGUUGGACUUGAGCUCAAAUUAGAAAAUUUGCGAAAAAGGGCUGCAAAGUUGGGAAAUUUCACUGGUUUCAGCACUUAGUGUUUGUGAAGUGAGUUUCAAAAGUUACUGAUUUUAAUUCUAGUUUUUGAAUCUCUUUCACUCAAAACUAGCAAAAGUGAUAAUAAGGAAAGUUGUUAGAAAUGUAAAACUCUGCAACUUUUAGUUUGGCAAAACUUUAAGUUUCUGUACAAAAUUUCAUGUUUUGAAAUAACUCCAAACUUAAGCUCUUAAGGGCAAAAAGGACUUUUCACGAGCUAGAUUAGUGUCUAAGCUUCCCAUUUCAGCUUAAGCAAGUUUAGCUUAAGUAGAGUUGUUACAACCUACCCCCCUUAAGGGAAUCUCACCCCGAGAUUCAAGUGAAGAAAGGAACUAGUGUGGCUUGUGCAACGUAUUCCUCUGUUUCCCAUGUUGCUUCAUCUUUCGUAUGAUUACUUCACUGAAUUUUGAACAUUCUCACCAUUUGUCUUCGAGUGUGUCUUUCCUUCUAGUCGAGGAUUUUAACAGGAUACUCUAUAUCAGAUAAAUCAGGUUCGAUUUCCAAUUCCUCAUGUGCAAGAAUUUCUGUCAGAAUUUGAACACACUUUUGAGUUGCGAGACAUGGAAAAUGUCGUGUAUCACUGCAAGCUUCUUCAGGAGUUUAACCUGAUACGCUACAGGUCCACAAAUUUUCACAACCUCAUAUGGACCAAUAUAGCGUGGAGCCAACUUUCCUUUUACUCCGAAGUGUCGUACGCCCUUAGUCGGGGAUACUCGGAGGUAUACAUAAUCGUCAACUUCAAACUGUAUAGGCCUCCACCUCUUAUCGGAAUAGCUCUUUUGUCAGGACUGGACAGCCUUAAGGUUUUCUUAGAUAACUCUCACCUUUUCUUCUGCCUCUAUUACCAAGUUUGGUCCAUCACACGGUCCUUUCUCCUGCCUGGGACCAACUUAACGGAGUUCGACACCUACGACCGUACAAGACUUCAAAAGGUGCCAUCUUUAAGCUAGCUUGGUAGCUAUUAUUGUAUGAAAACUCUGCCAAGGGCAAACAUUUAUCCCAGCUCUUGUCGUAGUGGAUGACACAAGCGUGUAGCAUAUCUUCAAAUAUCUGGUUGACCCUUUCAGUUUGUCUAUCUGUCUGGGGGUGAUAUGUGGAGCUAUGAAUCAUCUUAGUGCCAAGCGAAGACUGUAAUUGUUCCCAAAAGCGUGCUACAAACUGACUACCUCGAUCCGAGAUGAUCGUUUUCGGCACACCAUGUAGGGAAACAAUCCGAUCAAGAUACAACUCUGCAUAUUUCUAUAUGGUGUGAGUAGUGUGCACAGGAAGAAAAUGCGCUGUCUUAGUAAGUCUGUCCACUAUAACCCAUAUGGAAUCAUGCUUGCGAGAGGUAUUAAGCAAUCCGACUAUCAUGUCCAUGCUUAUAUCCUCCCACUUCCACGAGGGAAUAGGCAGCGGCUGCAAAGUGCUAGCUACCUUUAAGUGGCUUGCUUUAACUCGUUGACAGGUGUCACAUUCUGAGACAUAACGUGCAAUAUCUGGUUUCAUCCCACUCCACCAGAAAUUUUGUUGGAGAUCAUGGUACAUCUUGGUACUACCAGGGUGAAUUGAAAACUUGGAAAGGUGUGCUUCAUCCAUAAUCUGUUUUCGAGGAUCGGUAGCAUUCGGUAUGACCAAUCUAUCAUGGUACCAUACAACUCCUUGCCAAUCUUGGCGGAAAUAUUUAUAGCCCUCAUCCUUUUGUGCUAGCUUUUUCUUGAUGAGCUUAACUUCCUUAUCCAUUAACUGGGCCAUAACUAUUUGAUCAUGCAAUGUGGGUUCAACGGAUAUAUGACUCAAUGUGCCAUGGGAAACAAUUUCGAAGUUGAGUUUUCCAAUCUCAUAACAUAACGUCUCGGCGAAGUUGGUUGCCGACAAGCAGUUACAAUGGGCCUUGCGGCUGAGAGCAUCCGCAACUACAUUGGCUUUGCCGGGGUGAUAAUGCACUUCUAAAUCAUAGUCCUUGAUCAAUUCCAACCAUAUUCUUUGACGCAUAUUAAGAUCAGCUUGAGUGAAGAUAUACUUGAGACUCUUGCGAUCCGUAUAGAUGUUAUAGUGAGUCCCCAUAAGAUAAUGCCUCCAAAUUUUCAGGGCAUGAACAACCGCUGCUAACUCAAGAUUAUGAGUAGGAUAAUUCAACUCAUGUGGUCAUAACGCUCGCGAGGCAUAGGCAAUGACUCGGUUGUCUUGCAUAAGAACACAUCCAAGUCUAGUGCCAGAGGCAUCGCAAUAAAUGUCGAACGGCUUAGUUGUGUCUGGCUGAGCUAGAACUAGUGCGGAGGUCAACAAUCUCUCAAUGUGUGGACAACUUCUUCACAUUUGUCGCUCCACAUAAACUUGACUCCUUUCUUUACUAAUUCAGUCAUUGGCUUACCUAUCUUCAAGAAGUUAGGAAUAAAUCGCCGAUAGUAUCCUGCUAGACCGAGAAAGCUUCAAAUUUGAUGAACUGAAGUGGGUGGCUUCUAGUCCAUUACCUCUUGGACUUUGCUUGGGUCUACUACUAUGCCAUCGCUGGAUAUAGUGUGUCCCAAGAAUUUAACACUAUCCAGCCAAAAUUCACACUUGGAGAAUUUGGCAUACAGUUAGUGAUCCCUUAAGCAUUGAAGAACAAUGUGAAGAUGCUCUGCAUGUUCCUCCUCAUUCCUUGAGUAUACCAGGAUAUCGUCGAUGAAUACCAUGACAAAUUUGUCAAGCUCGAGCAUGAACACUGAAUUCAUGAGAUACAUGAAAUAAGUCGGCGCAUUAGUAAGCCCAAAUGACAUAACUGGGUACUUGUAGAGUCCAUACCGCGUAGAGAAAGCAGUCUUGGAAAUAUCGCACGGUCGGAUCUUGAUCUGAUGGUAGCCGGAGCGAAGAUCAAUUUUGGAGAAUACUCUGGCUCCAGCUAACUGAUUGAACAAAACAACAAUGCGGGGUAAUGGAUACUUAGUCUUUAUUGUCACCACAUUGAGAGGUGGGUAGUCCACACACAUGCGUAGACUCUCGUCCUUCUUUUUCACAAACAAAGCUGGACAGCCCUAAGGUGAUGUACUUGGGCAAAUGAAACCUUUUUCCAACAAUUCAUGUAACUGGGUUUUCAGUUCUGCCAGCUCUGUGGGUGACAUCCGAUAUGGCCUUUUGGAAAUCAGUGCUGUGCCUGGUUGCAACUCAAUAGCAAACUCGAUAUCUCUAUCUGGCGGCAUACCCGGCAAGUCAUCUGGAAACACAUCGAGAUACUCACAUACCACUGGGAUGUCCUCCAAUCGAGCUUCAGCCACGGGAUUGUAACAACUCUACCUUAAUUAGGUAUAGUUAAACUUAAGCAAGUCAUUAGUCACUAAGUAAAAGAGGUAAAAUUUCCAAUUUGCCCCUAAAAAGCUAUUUUUUGGAGUUAAAUAGAAAACAUGAGUUUUUUAUACAAACUUAAAAUUUUGCCCACAUAAGAGUUUUAAAACUUUUAAUUUCAAACAACUUUUAUUAAUAACACUUUGGCUAAUUCGGAGUGGGAGAGGGUCAAAAUAAGAAUCAAAUCAGGAGUAUAUCAAAACCCUACAGAUGACCUAAGUCCUGGAAUUCAUGUUUUUCCUCAAAUUUGCAACCUGUUAUCUCACAAUUCUAUAACUAACCUCAAGUCAGACCCUUAAUAGAAAUUGUAGUUCCUUGAGUGUGUUCCAACUUUGUUACACUGACCCAGGUCCAAAUUACAACCGAACCUGCUCAAAAACUUGGUCAAAAUCAUGUAAAACAGUCAACUCAGCCUUUUUGCAUUCUAUCGCCAAGUCUGGAAAGCGUCCAGAGCGUGCAUCUUGGCGAGCCUGUUCCUCCAAAUAUUUGAACUGAACUCAAGAAAAGUUUUUAAUAGAAGUUGGAGUCCUAAGACCGAAGAACUUUUCCUUCAAUUACACUUUGGCCUGAUUCAAACGGGAAGCUACUCAAAAUCUGAGCUAAAGUUGGCUAAAAUGCUGAAAAAUAGCAAAACCAAGAUAUGCCUCAAGUCCCUGGAGGCCGGCGUUCUGCCGAACUUGGCAACUCCAUAGUUUCAAAUUCAUCUCGUUUUCAAGCAAACUCCUUUUGUAAAGUUUGAAGCUGGAUGUUAGGUCUAUAAGUUUUACUUUUGGAGUUUCACGAGUUCUUUCAAAAAGUUUGGAGAAAAAGCCCCCAAAACCAGCCCUGUUUGACUGCCCUGAGGAGCACCCCACCCCACGCACGCCCGAAGCGCGCCCGCACGUACGCCCGUGCGCCGCCCACCACGUGGCCGCCGUCCACCAGCGAGCUCGCCGUUGCCCAACCAGCCGCCGCAACAAGACCCCUCACGUGCUUGGCUACCUAGUAGGCGAGCGUGCUUAUCCUGCCCCUGGCGUCACGCAUAUCAUCGCUCCAUCCCCAUCAAGCUCCGCCCGCCGGAGGACGCCACGCCGCCGCCUCGGACCGGCCAAGCUCCGACACCUAUCGCCGCCCGGACAGCGGCCGCACGUGCGCCUCGCUCCGUCAACCCCUGGCUGCGGCAAAGCUGCGCUUGCAUGACUCGUUAUUCCAAGGCCAAUGACCGGGAGAUCCUAUCCCGCGGUCUCCGCGUCUUGGCCAAUGGCGCCACCACCAAUGGAGCUCCGGCCCACGGCCCACAGAGCAUUCCGAUCCUAUCCGCCCAUUCCUGAAGCUACGCCUCACUCCCCCGCACCUCCCAGGCCCCAUAUAAGGACUUAUGGCGACGCCUACACCGCCCUCCGCCACUUCCAGCACUGCUGCUCCCCUAUUUUCCAGCGCCGCCGCACGGGUCUCCCAUGGAGCCCCCACCUCUGCGCCGCCCCGCACCUCGCUGACACCACCGCUCGCUUCGCCGCACCACCGUGCACGUCUUCGAGCGACUUCUUGCUCUCCCGAAGCCCCGCCGUCGCCAGAACUUCACCGGGAUCCUGCCGCCGAAGCCACUUCCGUCCCCAAGCCGUUCCGCCGCCACCGAGUCUGCUCUGCUGCCCUAAUUGCCACCAAUCGACCCUAGGUGAGCCCGCGUUCCUCCCCGGUCACUUGUUGCCCUAGCCAGACCCUCACCUUGCCGGAAUCGGGCGAAGAUCGCCGUCGACCGCCGCGAGGACCUGUCUGUGUUGUUUACCUUCUUCCAAGGGCCUUAGCGCAAGAACUAUGGACCCCUGCGUAAAUAAACUGUAGACACGAAGGGUUAGUUUGUAAGUUGAUUUCGAUUUAUUGUUUUAAAUUGGCAGAAAAUGGGUUAAACUUUGUAAAUUCACCAUAAAUCGUAGACAAAUCAGAAAAAUGCCAAACCACUUUUGUUGAGCUCAGUAAGCUGUGUAGUUUCGUGCAAAAAAUAAUCUUGUUCAUGUUACUAUUGGAAAUAAUAUCCUAUAGUUUUAUUUCUUUCUUAGGCCUUUUAAAUCAUACUAAAUCGAAGAAAAAUGCUAAAAAGGUAAAUCCAACUUUGUGGUGUCUGUUUAAGUGGGUAGAAGAUCAAAAAAAUACUUAGUGCCUUGGAGUAGAACUUAAAAUCACUGUUUUAACCUUAUAUUUAAAAUCUAGGGUUAAAUCUUACUUUUUGCAUAAGUUUUAAUCCAGAGCUGAGAAAAAUAUGAAACCACUUGGAGUAACUUGGUUUGGAAGUGUAGUUUGUAGGAAAAAUAUGGUUUAUGGUCAGAGUCAUAAAGAAACCCACCCUUCCAUAUAAAACAUGAUAAAUAGGAGAAAAUAUGGGAAAUAGAUGUCCUUCUCUAAAAAUCAUGAAAAAUUCACCAAAGUCUCUGUAACCAACCUUCAAUCUAUUGUUACAUUUUCACCCUCAGAAUCACUAUAGGUUUUGAGAUAAAAAUAGUUAAGUACAUGCUACCCUUGGUGGUAAAAUGCUUUUAAUUCUUUUUGUGGUAAUCCAAUAGAUCCCAAAUUUUUACAGUAACCCAUUGAUGACCUAAGUGAGGUGCUGUAAUUUUCUCAGUGCCAUAUGUUACUGUUUGCUUGUGGAACCAUAUUUUGGAUAAGAAAUCGGUUUAAGUGAAUAAAGAAAUAUAAGUCCUAAUACACCUAAUGGGUAAUUUUUGAAAGCGAUACAAAAAACAUUCAGUGGUAAAUAACUCUCCAAGUGAACCCCGAACAUUCCUAAAAAUGACCCCACCUUCCUUAUGCAACUCUAAGUUGUAAGAAUCUUAUAUGUACACAAUUACCAUCAAAGUCAACCUCGAGUUUAAACCACAACCCACCUUACUUUAUGAAGUUAAGGAAAGUUAGAACCUUGUUUAGGUGAAUGUGACCUAAAUACAACUUUCUUUCUAGCAAUAAGUCAUGUCUUACAUCCUUCAUGCAAAGCAUGGAAAAAUCUAAACUCUUUGCAUGUGCAUGUCAUGUAGAAGCUAAUAUUGCCGACGGAACCUACGAGCUCCACCCUACGUUGGAAGAGGAAACCAUCUCGGAGCUACAUCACGCGGAAGUUGAGCCUGAGCUAGAUCAAGACCCUGAGGAACCGCUAACUUUUCCUGAAGGCAAGCCCUGGUGCAUGUUUCCCUGUUUUAAAUUUAUGCAAUAUGUUGGUGCUUAUGAUUGUGCAUUUACGUUGUAGGAGUUGAUUGAAACCGUAGAUGCAUGACUUAGUACCUUGUUUUGAUCACUAGUUGAUAAGGUCGAGUAGUUGCUGUGCUAAAUAGGACUCGGUAAAAGGUUGGGUGAUUGCCUGUCACUCGCGAGUUAUAGGAGUUGUGUGAUUACUCUUUCUCAACUAUAAGGAUGACUGACGGGAUCGGGAAUGGUUCUGAUGUGGUGGUNNNNNNNNNNNNNNNNNNNNNNNNNNNNNNNNNNNNNNNNNNNNNNNNNNNNNNNNNNNNNNNNNNNNNNNNNNNNNNNNNNNNNNNNNNNNNNNNNNNNNNNNNNNNNNNNNNNNNNNNNNNNNNNNNNNNNNNNNNNNNNNNNNNNNNNNNNNNNNNNNNNNNNNNNNNNNNNNNNNNNNNNNNNNNNNNNNNNNNNNNNNNNNNNNNNNNNNNNNNNNNNNNNNNNNNNNNNNNNNNNNNNNNNNNNNNNNNNNNNNNNNNNNNNNNNNNNNNNNNNNNNNNNNNNNNNNNNNNNNNNNNNNNNNNNNNNNNNNNNNNNNNNNNNNNNNNNNNNNNNNNNNNNNNAUGUUCUAGACACCUCAUUACCAUCAGUAGCCUUCAGAUGAUGCAUCUGCUGCGUUUAAGGCUGCUUACAAGAAGGCAUUUGAUGCUAAUCGUGAGGUAAGUUGCCUUAUACUAGCUUGCAUGGAACCCGAGCUGCAGAUGCAGUUUGCAACAAAUCAUGAGGCUCACGAUAUGAUCGUGGCGCUCAAGGACAUGUUCCAGACACAGGCUAGGACCGAAAGGUUCAAUGUGUCCAAAGCCUUUCUGGAGUGCAAGUUAGCAGAAGGGGCAGCAGUAGGACCACAUGUAAUCUAGAUGGUUGGUCCCAUCCGUCAUCCUUAUGGUUGUAGUAUGAGUAAACAACAACUCCUAUAACUCGCGAGUGACAGGCAAUCACUCGACUUUUACCAAGUCCUAUUUAGCAUAGCAACUACUCGACUUUAGCAACUAGUGUUCAGAUUGAGGUACUAAGUUCGUGCAUCUAAGGUUUCAAUCAACUCCUACAAACGUAAAUGCACAAUCAUAAGCAUCAACAUAUUGUAUAAUUUGAAAACAGGAAAGCAUGCACCGGGGCUUGCCUUCAGGUUUAGAAAAAGCUAGUUGGUCUUCAGGGUCUUGAUCUAGCUCAGGCUCAGCUUCCAUGUGAUGUAGCUCUGCAGCGGGUUCCUCUUCCAGCGUGGGAUGGAGCUCGUAGGUUCCAUCUAUGAUAUUAGCUUCUACACCACAUGCAUAUGCAGAAAGUUCAAAUUCUCCAUGCUUUUAUAUGAAGGAUGAGAGACAUGAAUUUUUAUUGAAGUAUAAGUUACAUUUCAACCACAUUCACCUAAACAAGGUUCUUAACUUUCAUUAUCUUCAUGAAGUAAGGUGUGUUGUGGUUUAAAACUCGGGGUUAACUUUGAUGGUGAUUGUGUACAUACAUAAGGUUCUUACAACUUAGAGCUUCACAAGGAAGGUGGGGGGUCGCUUUUAGGAUUGUUCGGGGUUCAUUUGGAAAGUCAUUUAUUUCUGAAUUUCUUUAUGUACCUCUUCCAAAAAUUACCAAUUAAGCUUACUAGGACUUAACCUUUUCUUUAUUCGUUUAAACCGAUUCAUCUUCCAAAAUUUGUUUCCAUAUUUAAACAGUAACAUAUGACACUUAGAAAUUAGUAGUAUCUUACUCAUGUCAUCUAUGAGUUACUAUAAGAAAUUUGGGAUCCAUUGGAUUAGUACAAAUAUAAUUAAAAUUAUUUUAUUACCCAAAGACAGCAUGUACUUCACUAUUUUUUAUCUCAAAACCUACAGUGAUGCUGAGGGUGAAACUUUAACAGUGGGUUGAAGGCGUGUUAUAGAGACUUUGAUGAAUUUUUCAUAAUUUUUAGUGAAGGACAACUAUUUCCCAUAUUUAUCUUCUAUCUAUCUUUCUUCCAACAGAAAGGCAUGCCUCAACAAGUUAAAUUUAGUGUUUCAUAUUUUUCCUAAGAACUACUUUUCAAAACCAGGGUACUCCAAGUGGUUUCACAUUUUUCUCUGCUGUGGAUUAAAACUUAUGCAAAAAGAAAGAUUUAACCUUAGACUUCAAAGAUAAAGUUAAAACAGGGAUUUAAAGUUCUACACUAGGGUCUUAACUAUUUUUCCAAGCUUCUGUUCAAAGAAACAGACACUUUAGAGGUGGAUUAGUCAUUUUUACAUUUUUCUGUGAUUUACCAUGAUUUAAAAGGCCUAAGCAAGAAAUAAAACUAUAGGGUAGUAUUUCCAACAGUAACAUGGGCAAGGUUAUUUUUCCAUGAAACUAUGUACUUCAGUGAGUUCAACAAAAUUUAUUUGACAUUUUUUAGAGCUUCCUACAUUUUUUGUGCAUUUUCAAAGUUCAUCUAUUUUUCUGCCAAAAUAAAACAAAGAAAACCGAAACGACUUUACAGCUAGGCCCCUGAAGUUUUCAAAACAUCACACGUAUGCCCUCGGUUCUAACAAAAAGAUCCCUGCAGGGUUUCCCCAAUCACACCCGUGCCCUCAUGGCGGGUGCGGCGGCGGGAAUGAAAUUCCGACGAGCCUAGAGGCUAAACGAUGCGAACAAUGGGUGGGAGACGUGUGGGUGCUCACUGUGAGGGGAUUCGGUGAAGGUCGGGGCGGUGGAGAAGGCGUGUGGAUAGCGAAUGGCGGUGGGGACGAAACAUGAGCGGUGGCAAAGGGUUCUCCAAUGUUCUAGCGUCGGCGGUGCUUCGGGCGGCCAAUGUAGGGGGCUGUGAGCUGCACGUCGUGGUGGCGGAGCUUGCGAAGGUGUUGGCGAGGUGCGGGGCGGCGUAGAGCAGGGGGCUCCACGGAGGGUUAGUGCGGCUGCGCUUAGAGCAGAGGGGGCGGCAGAGCUUUGCGGGUGCGGGGAGUUGCGCAGGCGGCACAUUGAUCCCUUUUAUACGGCCAAGGAGGUGCGGAGGGCGAGGGCGGACCCAAUUCUGGUGGCAGACGUGGUUGGAGGUGAGCGGGGGAGAAGAACAGGGUAGCGCCAUUGGCCGACGGCGCUCACUGGCGGAGGGAAGAUGCGGGCGUGUGCAAAAAUCUUCCAGCGAUUGGAUGGGAGAGAUAGGAGGUGUGCGGGAUCCUCUUUGUCUGGCGGAGCGAUUGGGCAAGCCGGGCGUCAUCGUGUCACCGUCGAGCGGCGGGUUGGGAAGGUGGAGCUUGGCCGACGUGCAGCAAAGGCAUGGCGGAGGGAAGCGGCAGAGGCACGACGCAGCAUUGGGUGAAGGAUAUGCUUGGGCAGGGGGAGGAUAGGGUCGCGCGGUCAUUGGGCAAGAUGGCGCGUCGACCCAUCUCAUCCUGGCGCGGAUUGGCCAUGGCGGCUCGCCGGUGGGGGAUGUCCACGCGGCGGUGGUGAGCUGGGCAGGCACGGGCCAUGCGCGCUCUGGCGUGGGGGCGAUAUGAGGCAGGCCAAGGGCCAAAGUUUAGGCUGAGGUUAAGCUAGAUUUUUGAACUAAACUUCAACUUCUGCCUUUCUAAGAUUUGUAGUCCUUAAAACAAAGUUUAAAACUUACAAAAGAUGUUACUCCCAAAACAGAAUAGAUUUGAAAUUAUGAGGUUCCAAAGUUUGUUAGAACGCUGAUGGUGGUUCUUGGCUUUCACCUCCACCUUUGGGCUGACUCACUUCCUGCUCCUCAGGAAGCACUGCCAGUGGUGGUUCUUGCCUUUCUAGCUAUCUCCUAGCACUGCAUGGGCCUGACUCGGGGAGGUCCUGGUGGCACGCUUGGGAGGCAUCUGUAGAUUGAGCAGGAUUUUAUGAGACUAAGAUCUGGGUUUAAGUGAUCUUUAAGGUAAUUAAUUCGUAUUUUUGAAAAGACAGAAUCCACCUCCUGUUGACAAACACACAGACUAACAAACAACAGGCACAAACGAUUUUAUUUUUGCCACGGGGAGGGGUACAACACUUUGGGGUAAGGCCAAAACACGCACUACACGACCGAGUACAACAACAUAACUGGGGGUACAACUCUAAGCUUCGGACCGAGAUGGAUUCAUUCCCUUGGGUGCAACUCUAGGUGGGCACACUAUUCACGGGGCGAGUCUUCUUCCUGGACGGAGUGGUCUUCUAGCGAAAUCAGGAGGGCCAGCUCAUCUCCUUCCUUCAACAUUCUGUAUGUGGGAGGGGGCUCUGCUGCUUCUCUCUCCGCGAUCUUAGAGCCUCUUCUGGAAGCCUCUGGAAGUGGUGGUACUGGUGGAAUGUCGAGGCUCUUCCUUCUGUAGAACUCAAGGGCGAGAGGGAUUCCUUCAAAGAAAGGGGGCUCCUCGACCUCCGAGGCAACCAUCCAUCUCCUGGUAAGCCCUCCGAGAUGGGCCUCCUUUAGCUCUUGGAGAUGCCAUUCCUGAGCUUGCUUAAGGGCUUCUACGGCAGCAGCCUCUCCACUUCGGGCGGGCAUAACUUGUGCUUUGGCCUCCCUUAGCAUUACUUGGAGCAUCCUUAUCUGGACUUCUGCCCUCUCGGUGUGGUGAAUCUUUUGCUUCAGCUUUGCGACCUGUUGAUCAUAGAGCUUAUCUAGACUGACAAGAUAGGCGGUCAUGUGGUACACUGUGGGGUCCUCUUCACGUUGUCCCUGCUCAUCCAAAGCUCUCAUCCGGGCUCUCCAACCUGGAUGGUCCUUCUCGGCAGGCGGGAAGUAUCUCAUGGAAGUGGGCUCGAGGUGCAUCUCGUACACCUGACACAGGUAACCAAGAGCCUUUCAAACCGCUACGGGAUAGGUUUCCCGGUGCCAGAAACCCAUAGCUGAUACUUGAAGCGGCUCGAUGUUGGGAUGGUGAGCACUCCUUCCAAUGUGGAUGAUCACUUCCCAUCGAGGGAUACCGUAGCGCUCGUACUCCCUGCUGGAGUACUCCGGGGGCUCUCGGAUGCCAAGACGCUUCAGGCAAACGAACAACAACUUGGGAAAAUCGGGCUCUUCUAGGCAGUGGUUGUGGGUCCAUUCUCCUUCAGCCAUCUGGAAAGAAUUGGGGUGCGAAUUAGUUUUGCAAUAGAGUAGGGCAAGGAAGAAAUUUUGUAAAUCACUUAUUUUGGUCAAAGAGGCUUUUUCGGUCCUAAGGUCACGUCCUACAGCCAACGAUGGCUUUGAUAGCACCUGAAGCGUCCCCACAUCAGCGGACACUAAAUGUGAUACAAAUAUCAAUCCCAGGAGACUGAUAACACAUUUAUUCACCGGAUGGUUCAAAACCGUACAACUCCCGAAGGAGCGGGCGGGCAAGCCACACCCAAAGAGAAACAAACCAACAACAAUCCAGAUCCAAGUUGCAGUCCAGUCGGACUCUAGGCUGCAAUCGGAACUAAGCGACAGCGGAAGCAUUCUGCAAAGGCCAACACCACAGGCAGCGUUGGGUGCGGAAGUGACCUUCCACUCGAAAUCCUCGGCGACGAAGUCUGGGUCUUCCUCUGAAGUAACAAAAUAAGGGUGAGUGCAAAAGUGCUCAAAAAGUCCAACCCCAUCCACGGAGGGGGAUACAAUCAAGAGUAUGCACAGGAUAUGUCAAGGAUGAAGCUAAGGUUCAUUUUCCAUAAAGCUACAUUUUUCAACACAUGCAGGGGUUCAUUUUCAAAAGGUUUUCCCAACUCCUGCAGCGUUUUCCAUAGCAGCUGCACAAACCCUGGCUUAUCCAGGUAAUGCCCGCGGGUCCAUCCAUCCUGGUCGGUGUAGCCUUCUUGAAACAUCCUAUAAAAGAAACGAGGUUAGGUCUAACGCCACUCACCAAACCCAAAAGUUUUUUUAAAACAUGCUUAUGCAACAUGAUGCAACGACUCCUACGUACUCACAGACUCAUAUACACACUCGUAGAGAAAUUGGUGGCAUCGUAACCUCUCCCUAAUAAUAUACUACCGAAUACUAGCGACACGCAGCAAACAGUUAGCAUCUGCAAAACAAACAACCAGUUAACACUACUGCCACCUGUGACUCAUGUUUUCUUUAUUUUAAAAUAGAGUCUCAGUUUUUAAAUGGUAAUAUCUGUUAACUAUCCCAACCUACGGCUCUGAUACCAGCUGUGGCAGAACCGUCCAACUUAAACUGGUUUAAAUGCAUCUAAUUGCUGCCGAUGCAGCAAUUAUCCGAAACACACUUAAAACAGUACAAGUCCGGUCGUCCGUUGAGUGUCCCCAGGACUCCUCGAAAGAUCCACGUCGUGUCUCAUAGCCAUACAUCAGGAUUGUAUCCGCGAUGGGAUAGCAUCAACAAAUAUUACAUUUUUACAUACAUACAAGAGGUACGAGUUAAUACAAGACAUAGUUUGAAGCAAACUUAACAGUGCAGUGUUAGACAGAGUUCUAGGACUUAAAACAUAAACGGCGGGUGGAGAUGAGUAUUAUAAGAUUUCUUCUAAGGGUAUUGUGAGACUCGUAACAAUACCCUAGGAUUUCGGGGCUUCCUCCUCGGUGGACUCCUGCGGUGCUUCUGAAAAGAUAGCCACAAGGGAUAACCCUGAGUACGGUGUACUCAGCAAGUCUUACCCGACUAACCAAUAUAAUAGUUUUUCUUGGAAGUACAUGAUAGCUUUUUGGUGUACUUGGCUGAUACAUUUUUGCUGAAAACCUUACUACAAGUGACGCCUUAGUUUUAUCUUUUAUUUGAGUUAACUUGUUACCUAACCAUUCUAGAUGAUAAAAAAAAAUUAAUUGCGAACAACAAGGUAUUAAGUCAUCCACCAAUCAUUAUUUAGAGAGAUAUGACAUUCGUGAAUUUAUACUACGAUGCUCAACAGUGAUCAAGUGCAUUCAUAACCGAGAAUUGCGGCGAUCCGGAUCAUAUUACAUCCUGCAGGAGAGUACCCUGAUCACCAGCUAUAUACGACUGUCCAGGUCGUACGUAACGACUUUUCGAUUAGCAAAACCAAUGAUUGGGAAUAAGACUACCCGGACCCAGGGACGCAACCCCACAUGGGACCCCACGUCUGGCCCGAUCACCAUGUGAGUUUCAGGCUACGCCCCUGCCAAUCUCCAGCACGUCAAGCACGGGUACGAAGUAUUCCCGAUCAAAGAGUUUACUAACCUACUGGGCUUUACUGGUCCUAUACCCAGUAAGUGAUCAGAUGAUUAUCACUUGAUCAAAGGUUAAGACAACGAAUCGGGCCUUAACCAAUUUAAUCUAGCAGACAGAACUACAUCCUUAGCUUCUGUCUGCUUCUCAAUUUCCAAGUCAUCUUUCCAUAAAUAACAUGUAUGACUCAAAAUUUUCCUUAAGGUUGGUAAACCAAGUAUUUAAGCAACUAAGCAAUUCUAGACUUGGGUUAUCUACUAAAGGUUUGAACAAGUGGCAAAGAUGUCCUUAAAACAAGGUAUGAUCAUGCACAAGAAUGGGUUUCAAGCAACUCCUAGACUUAGUGCAUACAUAUAGCAAUAGCUAAAUACAGGACACAUGAAAUAUUGACUUCAAAAUAAUAGGUAUAAUGCACCGGGGCUUGCCUUGUUCGCUUAAAAAGUUAGCACUGUCCGAAGGGUUGGCCUCGCAAGGGACCAAUUCAAAGAUUUCCUCAAACUCCGAAGAUCCUUCUGAAUAUUCCGAGUAAUCUCCUUCUGGUGCUUCGGGGUCUAUAGCAUAACAUAUGCAGGGGUUAGGAAUGCAAAUUUUUGAAUAUAAGACUAUACAACUUUCCUUCAUGAUAAAGUUGCAAGCCAACAAGGACUAUACAAUUUAUCAUGAUAAAGUUGCAAGCCAACACACAAAAACCCAAAAAGAUUAGCCCACAAUUUUUAUUUCCUUAAUUAUCCUUACUUAAGGCCUUUUCUUUUAUUUGUAGAAAAUGUUACAAUUAUUUUCUAACUGGAAAACCUAAUUUCCUAUGAGUUAAUAAUAAUUUGUGAUUAUGAAAAUGUUAUUCUAUAUUUUAUGCCUUUAUUAAAGAUUAAGUAUUUAUUUAAUUACCUUAAAAGAAAGAGAUUAAAUAAAUACCCAAAUUUUUAUUAUUUUUCUAGGGUAUAAAAAAUUUUAAUGCAUAAAGGAAAAUAAAACAAGCCUAACAAAAUUGGUUUCACUAAUUUUGGACACGCCUAGAAAUUUCUGUGAUUUAAAUGGUGAGAUUCGGAUUUAAACUAAUUAUUCUAUAAAGGAAAUCUAAAUUUUCCCGAAAAACGCCCCCGGCAACUUUUCUCACAUGGCCCUACUCUACCCCCUCUCUCUUACGCUGGGCCCGCGGCGCGGACCCACCCCUUCUCCUAUUUAUUCUACCCGCCGGCCCCUUUCUCCUUGGCCGGGCUCUACUGGGCCGAUUUCUCCUCUCUUCUUUAAUCCGAAACCCAGCAUCGGCCCACUGGCCCAUCCUUUCUUUUUCUUCUUUCUUUGCAGCGCCGGCCUGCCGAAUCUCUGGGCCUCCGGCCUUUCUCUCCACCGGCCAACCGCACGCGCUCCUGGGCCUUCAAGACCGCGGCCCAUCUGGCUUCCGCGUGCGACCGGCCUGCCUCCUUCACUCCCCCGCCUCCUCUGACAUGCGGGUCCGCUGCUCCAGCUCCUUCUUCCUCCUCCCGCCAAAACUGGCACGACAGGGGGCGGCGCGGCUCGCCAGCCGGCGCCCUACCGGCGACGGGACUAGGUCGGGAAAGCAUCUCUGUGCCCUCACGCACCCGCGCGCGGUGACAGCUCUCCGGGAGGUGGCUGGAGCCACUCCCUCCACGGCGGCGGGUGGCGGUGCCUACGGCCGGUCGCGGCUACGCAUGUCGACGGCUUAACUUACCCCGACGACUACUGCUAUAGCCUCCUGGUACUCUGAGGACUCACCUACGACUACCCACACAAACAGAGAGGAGCGGCAAGAGGGUGCUCACCGUGAGCAGGACGUGCGGCGACGGCGGACGGAAACGAUGGCGGCUUAUGGCACGCCGGCGGAGAAGCUGGGCAACAAGUGGCUAGGGUUGUUGGUGGGGUAUGUAUGGAGAUGUGGAUGGAGGGAAUCGACGAGAGCGGCGGUGUGGUGGGGGAAUUUCACCCGGCGGCGGCUUGGACAGAGGAGCGGCGGCGGUAAAAAGAACAGCGGUAGAAGCGGGCAGCGCGGGAGCGGUAGUUAUUCAAGCUUUCACCGCGCGCAUGGUUGCUACCGUGGUCUACUCGUAGGCUUGCGUGGUGAGGAGGUGGCGUAGCUGCCGCACUGGCGAGCGACCGAAGACGGCGGUGGCGACACGUUGAGCGCGACUCUGUCAUCCUCCCCCUCUUUAUCUCUGACGCCCGAAAAUUCAGAGCUCCACCACGGUUGAUUUUGAAUCCGACGGUUCACAAGUUGCUUAAACAAAGUUGUAGAUAAACUUGAAUCCUUCAACUUUUAUUUUGGCUCUGACCUGAGAUAAACAUCCUAAUAUAGUAAAAUUUUGAAUUCUUUCUUGCAUUUGUCUGAACUUCUCUGAAACUCGACAUUCAGUUCGUCAGUCUUGAACAGAGUCACUUACCCGACUUUAGAAAUGGUUUAUUUGAUCUAAAUCCCUUCCUCUCUGUCCAACUACUUCCCAAUUGUGUUUUACAACCUUCAAAGUUUCCAUUUUGCCCAUAAACACUUGCACCUUUUGUUCUAUAUUUUUCUGAAAUCGACUCCAAACUUAGCCAUAUAGUGCUGUUUCAGACUUAGAUGAAUUCAGAGGUGCAGUUUACCGUGACAAGGUGCCAACUUUGAGCUUCCAUUUGAAAUGGUUCCCUCUAUUAUUCCUGAUCAACAGCACUUAAAGAUUCUUGUCCAAAGUCCACACUUUAAUAUGGUAUAGUUGUUUGGAUCCACUUAUUUGAAAAAUUCAACAGAAUUCAAUUUCCAAAAAUGAACUCUGUGCUGUUUUUCUGAAACUGCUGUUGUCGGACGGGGAACAGUAACCUUGUUUUUCAUUUUCUUUCUUUGAUUUUCUUGAGGUAUUCAGGACCAAUCCUUGUCCCAAAUUUUGAUCUUUAAGUUCUAAUCACCCUUACACCUCCAUUCCAUAUUUUUGCGGAAUUUUUCUGAAUUUCGAAUUCAAAAUUCAAAUUUCGGUCAAAUUUGACCCGAAUUUGAUUUUUGGCCAAUUUCUUCUUCAUUUCUUCACGAAUUGCUUCCAUUUCUUCAGAGUCACUUUGAUGACUAAAAUGGCAGGUAUUACAGGAAUGGCCGGUGGCGGCCGACCGACCGGUCCUCGGCGACGACGAGCUGAGUGGCGGAGGAGGUAGAGGAGGGUGAGGGAAACCCGUUUUGCCCCUUACCUUGGGGAUUCAGUGAUGGGAAGGGGGCGGCCAUCGGUGGAUAGGAGGCGGCGGCGGCGUGCUUGGCGGCACGCAGGAGCGGGGUGCAAGGGGAGAGCGGGGGAGGUGCUGGUGGCUUGGGCGACGAGGUUGGGCGGCGAGGUGGGGCGUCGCCCCCCUUUUAUAGGCCGGCGAGGGAGGAAGACGACGAGCUGCCGGUCAUGGGAGCCCCGGUCCGGCGAGCUUGGGCAGUCGGUGAGGUUGGGAGGUCGGCGAGGCUCAGUGCGGUGGUGGAUUAGGGGCUGACGGUGGUGUAGCGGGACGAGGAUGGGCGCUGGAGGGCGGGCGGCGCAGCGAGCAGCAUCGACGCCAGCGCCGGGCGCGUUGCGGGUGGCGUGCAGGGAGGAGCCAGCGAGGCCGAGCCAGCGCGGCAGGGGAGAGAAGGGAGGGGCCCUAGGCAGGCUCGGCAGGGGUUGGUGGAGAAGGGGGGAGCUGGGCGCACAGCGCCGGCCAGGGCGCAGGUGGGGUUGGCCAAGGGGAGGUAUGCGUGCGGCCAGCCAGGAAGAAAGAGGAGGAGGAGAAAGGAAGAAGAAGGAGAAAGAAGGAAGGAGAAGGAGAAGAAAGAAAGGAAGAGAGGAAAAAAAAAGAAAAAGGAAAAAUGGGGAAAGAGAAAAGAGGAAAUAAAAGGAGAGAGUCGGUGAUGAUUGCGGGAAACGGUCGGCACGCGCGAGACUUUUGUCGGACAUGCGGUGGAGGAAGCGGUGGAUGAAAUUGAUGGCGAUCGGCGUGGAUGCCAGGACGGCGAAAUCGUCAGGAAAAUUAGAUUUUCAGGGAGCUCAACGGUCGAAAGAUUUUGAAAAUAAUUUUUAACGAGUGUUUUAGGUUGGUGAAUUUUACGAAUGUUACAUCUACCUAGAUAGCUGCAACCUAAUCCAUUGCAGGUGCAUUGUACCUCCUCUGAUCAACUGAAAUACUGGUGUUCAGCUCAAUUGUAUUCUCUAUAUUAGUUAUAGUACCCAAGCUCGUGAACAAUUGGACGUACGGGUUAUACCUUUGUAGAUCACCUCGGAUCAAGUGAAUCAGAUUUUUAUCAAGAUUAGGUGACCUCUUAACACAAUGAUCAAUACUAUCAUCCGUGUCGUAAAAGUAGAGCUGCAUAUGACACAGCCCUUUACCAUUUGGAGUUAGUGGAUCCAGCUUAUGGUAAAUCUAGCCAUGGCCCUUAAAACAGUACACACCACUACCUUUUGUGGUUGCUAAACGCUGGUCAAUAGAAACCCCAGAGCUAGUGAAAGAAAAAUGUGAGUUGAAGUACCAGAUGUGCUUUCAAAAGUAUUUUGCAUCUCUAUCCGUUUGACUUGCAAACAAACGACGAAGCUCAUAUGGCAUUUUUGGUAUAUAUGUGCACCUUACCACUUUUGCAGCAGAACACAAGACCUUCAUCGGGAACCUCUUAGCAUUGCAUAAAUAACAAUUUUGUACCUUCCUCAACACGUGAUGGUUCUUAGGUAGGUUACGGUACACUACAUGGGAAUGUCCCCUGCAACAUACUCAGGAUCUCUGGAAUACUUAUACACAAAAUCUAUAUAUGACAAAAAAUAGUAAUAAGAUAACAUAAAGCCAUAUUCCAAAUAUGUAUGAUGCGUUACGGAAACUCAUCCUUCUCGUGAAACACCCUUGCUUCGUCAUCUAGCACGAUAUCAGGUCCAUCACCGUCUGGAGCCAUUUGGUCCGGAUCGUUCUCUAUUGCAUGGGAAAAUAUAUAAUCAAUAUAUAUAUAUAUAUAUAUAUAUAUAUAUAUAUAUAUAUAAUAUGUACCAAUAGUAAAACUAUAGCCAUAUAAUAUAUAAUAUGCCCAUACCUUCUAUUCCAUGCAUAGGGUCAUCUGGUUCCCAAAUUUCCCUGUUAUAUUCUUCUUGUACAACCAUUUUUUUAAUAGACUGUCUUAUUGUUGGACCAGAGUUCAGUUGGGUCAUUCCAGAUUGCAAAGUCCCAUUCGCAGGAGUAUGUAACAAAUCUUCUGUAUGUAUAGUAGAGGAAGCACAGUACAUACAUAAAAUAAAUCAUCAUUCAUCGCAAUGCCUGCACUGUAUCGAAUCGAAGAUCACAAUAUCUGCGAACUGUACCCUGGUUAGAGGUUUUCCGGUGUCUCCGAUCUUUGUUAUUUUUUAAUAUCUUCUCAUGUUUAUCAUGGCUUGACAGAUCAGCAUAUCUUUUGCGGUCUCUUUAUCUCUUCGAUUCCUCAGGACACACAUCUACUCCACAAAAAAACAAUUAUGAAUAUCACCUUCAAAUAAUUUAUAUGGCUUCGAUGUACAAAUAAAAAAUACAAAUAUGUAUACCUGCAUCUUGUGUUGCAGAGUCCAAUGUUAACACAGACUGAUUGGUUUGAAUUUCAUUUGGCUGCAGCGCAAUAUCUGAAGUGAUCAGAGUAAUAUCAGCAAUUUAUACGAUAAAAGUGAUCAGAGUAAUACUGAACCAUCUUACUGAAGAAAAACAUACCAGCAAAGGCAAGGGCAGGUGUUUCUACAUCCAUGCCAGUUGCUUCACCCAGGCAAUUCGAUCUCAUUCUAUUCAUCCUUUUAUUGGCAUUCCGUUGAGCCUUUUUCUCAGCUGACAUAGAUGCAUAGUAUAGCCUAUCAUACUCCCUGCUUUUCUCUUUUUCAUACCCUCCAGAGGCAUCCCAGUAGUGUCUCUGAUUGGCACUACGAAUUGGUACAGCCUCUAGUUAAAAUUAUUGAAGAGAUAUGGGUUUCAAGUAACAAAAGAAAAUUAUAGGGACAUAGAUCGGUUAGAUGUCAAACUUGAGCCAGGCGUAUCAAAUUUCCCGGUGAUACCAGACUCCAUGAUUCCAAAUUCAGUUGUAUGUAGUGCGACAUCUGCAACAUCUGCACAAAUAACGUGACUCUACUUCAAAUAAAAAAAUCAAUCUACUUCAAAUUUAAUCAUUUGUUCUACAGUGCAUCACCGCAGCUGUAUGCAAAUAAUUCUUUGCAUGCAAAAUCAUUGGGCUACAUGGGAAAAAUAAUAAAACAUACCAGUAAAUGUGAAAUUUAAUCUUCCCUCCAUUAUCAUACCAUCCAGGAAGACCUCAUUCACACCUGCGAUGGUUUUUGUAAUUCAAUUGAAAAAUGUAAAAUGACAGAGACGAUACGUAAAAUCAUAAACCACAACACAUAUACCAAAUGCCAACAAACCUGAUUCAGACGGGUUACUUGGAUCCCAAGAAGCACGUUUUAAUCUUGUAUAAGCUGGGUUCCUACUAAGCCAAUCCACACCCAAAUCAUCUAGUUCACAUGCACACAAAUUUUAUUAUUUCGUAAUAACCAAGAGUCAUGCGUGACAAUAUGAAGUUCAGUUACUUCGUACCAGUCAAUGGUGAUGCAUCUGUUUGUGCAUUCCUGUCGAUGCCUUCCUCUGGAGGACGCGCUGGAGGUUGAAGCUGUCCAUUGUUUGAGUGUGUGCCCGCUUUCUUGCGAUUAUAAUUAUCCUUUCUCUUUGCAUUCAGCUGUGCCUUUUUCUCCACUGGUAUAUUUGCAUAUCGUUCCCUAGCUUUCUGUCACUUCCGUUCAGCCUCAUCAAUAUCAUCAGCUUCGUUCAAAAGAAAAAAAUGGAAGAGGUAACAUUACGAUCUAUAAAAUACAUUGUUUAGGUUUACAUUGGACCAAUGAUGCCGUACCUAGCCCAGCUCUCUUAACACCACGACGAGAACCAUUGGUGCGUGUGUUCGUGACAUCUCCAAGUGGAAUUCGACUAUCCAUGUGAACAGAUGUGAUGACAAAAACCACCAAUUUUGUGAGAUGACGAUCAUACGAUGUUUGUGGACCUAUUGAUUAGAUCAUACACAAAAUCAUAUACGUAAGAUCACAGAAGAUAAGAACCGUAUGAUGAUGCAUGCAGUUUGGCUACCAUGCGGUACCUGUAGUUCAUUAGACGGUGACUGGCCGAGGAUGUAGAAGAGAGACGUCGGUGUUGCAUGUAUAUCAUGUACGCGCAGCACCAAGAAAACAAAACGAAUGAAUAGAGUGGCGGCAACAAACGAUCAGUGUUUACCGAAGCUGUUUUAAGUUACUGCGACGCCGAUGGCGACGCAGUGGGUUCUUGGCAGCAUAUUGGGAUACCAACAUUGGGAGCUGUCAAUGUGCAAAGAAGGCACAUAUACACCAGAACACAAGGAAAGUAUACUAAUCAAAAGAAGGCACACGAAUCCCAUCCAUAAGGAAAGUACAACAUGAUUGUGGGAGACAGUCACGGCAUGGCACAUAAGGAAAGUAACUGCCAACCAACAUGUUUGAAUUUUCGCGGUGUGGCGGCCUGGUGGGUGGCUACGCGCGGGUACCCGGCGCGUGCGUGGUGAAUUUUUUUUUUUUUGAUAUUUUGGCGGUAUCAUUUUCUAUCGAUCAAUUUUUAGGUUCGGAGGCUCUUUCGUCACAUCUCCAAUCCUGACAGAUGGACCCCUUGUGAUGGGUACGGGGAUCUAAAUCUGGGUGGGAAUUGUUUUCAAUUCUCUCGCUCUUUGUAGUAUAGAUUAGUGCGCUUCUAUUGGAUUAUAGAUAUUUAGGCUAAUACCUCCUGGAGCAGAGAUCCUAUAUAACUUCCGGAAAUAGCUCUCUUCGGCAACUUCGAUGGUUCAAGAUUCGAAUGGUUAAGGGGUGUUUGGAUAAGAGGCACUAAACUUUAGGAGGGUCACAUCGGAUGUUCGGAUGCUAAUUAGGAGGACUAAACAUGAGCUAAUUAUAAAACUAACUGCAGAACCCCUAUACUAAUUCGCGAAACGAAUCUAUUAAGCCUAAUUAAUCCAUCAUUAGCAAAUGGUUACUGUAGCACCACAUUAAGCGUAAUUAAUCCAUCAUUAGCAAAUGGUUACUGUAGCACCACAUUGUCAAAUCAUGGACUAAUUAGGCUUAAUAGAUUCGUCUCCCGAAUUAAACUCCAUCUGUGCAAUUAGUUUUGUAAUUAGACUAUAUGUAAUACUCCUAACUAGUAUAUAAAUAUCCGAUAUGAUAGGUACUAAAGUUUAGGAGGGUGUAUCCAAGCACCCCCUAAACACCCCCUAAGAUGUCUGCGUGUGCGGGCCGGUGGGAAUAGCAGAGCAGCGGGAGUCCAUGUCCUCGGGUUUAUGUGGCAACAUGCGGUUGGGGUAAAUGGGUUGGGGAAGUUAAGUUUGAAUUCUACAUUGAAACGCAUUUAUCACCGAAGCAGCUUGUCGUUAGAAUUAAUGUCACAAAAUUAGUUCCGGUGUGACUAUUUUUUAGUGAUUAAGAAAUUCAACAUUUCUAAUAAACCAUUUCAACAUUUUAGAUAAACUGUUUCAGCAUUUUAUAGAAAAUGUUGAACUAGUGUUUGUAAAAUGUUGAACUAGGUUCAAAAAAUUUGUUGAUUAUAGUGUUUCAAAUGUUGACUAUACAAGUCCAAUAUCCUUAAUAUAUUAGCUCGAGAUUUUGACGGUACUACAUUGACUUCUUUAUGUAAAAUGUUGAAAUGUGCCUUUUGAAAUGUUGAAAAUGAUUUACUAAAAUGUUGAAUGCACAAAUCCAUACGUAUGAGAUAAAAAAUAAGAAAAGAAAGCUCAUCUGAGACUCCGAGAGGGUCUGCAUUAUAUUGUACUAAUGUCUCAAACCUCGCCCGAGAUGAUAGGAUUUAGUGUACUUGCAACAUGAGCGGCUUAGAUCCUAGUUGGGCCAGCUAGGCCUUAAAGAUGAUUAGCUAAACCUAUUGGAGCGGAAAACCUAUCAAUCUUCCCCCCCAAAGUAAAAACUUAUCCACCUUCCGAUGUAUAAGAUUUGUACGAGCCUUCUGAGUCGUCCGAUCUGCUGCUCCUUCUCCCCCUCCAUCACACACUUGCUCGUGCCGCCGGCUUUGCUUCUGCGCCAAGCUUGCUCGAGCUGCCGGAGCCCCACCGCCCACCUCUUCUGCUUAGGGUUUCGGGGGUGGGGGUUGGGUUCUCCAGCGUCUACACGCUUAGAAGGAAGCUCGGUCCAGCCAGUUUGCCUGGCGGUGGUGGCGGGUGAGACGGCAGCGGGGUCGGCGGCCGGCCGGAGCGGCGGCAAGACAUUCUGAUGGGUGGGGUUGGCGGCGAGGGUGGUGACUUGCCUUGCUUAGCAGUGAGCGGAGUCAGGAUGGCAGAAGCAGGAGGUGGGCGGCACGAUGAGGCGGUGGCAACCGGGAAGGGAGGGUGUGGUGGUGCAGGCGUGGCGCCAGGAGGCACCAAUAGCUGCACGGGAGGCAGCAGGUAGGGGCAGUGGAAGGGCUCGCCGACCACUAGCGGAGGAGAAGAAGAAGAAGAUGUGGUUAUGGGCUAAUGGGUCGUGUGACGAAUUGCUUAAGCAUCUUCCGGAAGCUGUAUAGGGACGCCCCUACUAGAGGGUCCAAUUUGGCUGAGAAGAUCCUAUCUAUCUUCCCCAUGAAACUUUCUUAUACAUCUUCCGCUUUAAGAUUGGUGUUCAAACCUUAGAUGGUAUAGAUCCACGGGUGUCGCAAGCGAGCAGACCCAAGCAAAGCUUGGUGUGCAGGAAGUAACGUGUUCGCUUUACACGUGGUGCUUUAAAUUUGGAGGAAUAAGUAAAGGCAUAUUUUUUUAGCUUCCUAACAGCUUCUCAGUGUGAAAAACUAGAAGUUCAAACAAACAAUGAACUUCUCAUGUAGCUUCCGAAAAGCUGUAAGUCUAGAAAAAUUAAGUUUAUAUGAAAAGCUGGAAAGCUUGGUUUUAUGAGAUUUUUAUAGCUUUUGGGCUCAAAAUGGUAACCCAUCCGUCACUAAUUGAGCGUCAUAAACCACGAUGAGUGAUUUUCCUUAUAUUUGCGCAUCGCUAAAUCUAUGACACCUAAGAAAUGUCCACACAAACGUCAUAAAUUAGCUCUUAUAGUUUUGCCACAAUGGACAAGAAUCUGAUGUGGCAUCCAAUGUAGCAUGAGCAUGGUGACAAAUUGUUUCGUCAUAAAAUGAUUUUGACCUAUUUGUUGUUGGGUCGAGCUCAAGUUUGUUCCGAUAGGCCAAUGUUGUUUAGAUAACCAAAAAAUUGUUCAGAUAGGCCUAUUUGUUGUUCGAUUAGUGACCCAAAAUUUGUUCACAUUGCUUUCGGCCCUUUUUUUACUGAUUUAUGAAUAAAAUACAUUUUUAGCACUACAAUAAGCUCCAAGGUGACCUUCCUCAAGAUCUGCCUCUCCGUCGUCUGCCCAUCGUGUGCCUCUUUCAAUUUUUCCUCACAUCCUUGCAUCUCUUUUAGCUUUCAACUUCGUGUUCAUCAGCUGCAAGGUGGUCUCCCCAUGGUAUCGCUUCACCUUUUUCAGCUCACCGGCAGUUUCAUCAAGCUCCCUCAUAGCAUAACCACAUCCUUCUUGCCAGAUACUUGCAUCCUCUUCAGCUUUCACCUUCCUCUUCAUCAGCUUCACUAGAAUACCUUUAUUCCUAACAUCCCAUUCAAGAUCAACCCACUUACAUGCCUCGCAUUUCUCCGCUUCCUCCUAUAGACACCAAUUACGUUUACCUUUAGUCCUAGCAUCCCAAGAGCUAUGAUAAUUGAAACAAUUUGUUGUUUACCUUGCAGUAGCAUACAAAACGGCACCAAGGGUUGUCAAAUAUCCAAUCAUACUUUACAUGGACAGCCAUCCCGUGCUUGCACACAUCUUCAUGAUCCACCACGGUAAUGUCACAAUCAGGUGACCCUGUUGUGAAGCUAUCAAUGACACCAGGUGACCGUGGAAGCUAGUAAAAUAGAAGAACCUAUCAAUUCAUACUACCAAUCUAAAUCAAAACCUAAUUGCAUCAUGAAAUUGAAAUGUAGUUCCUUCAACCAAGACCCCAAUAGCACAAACCGUAGUCCCAAGAGGAUGAUGGGGACAAGAAGCCCCUACAAUUCGAACUGAGAGCUCACCUGAUCAGAGUUCGUCUCUUUCUCCAUUCUGGUUUGAUGCACUAUUCCCACCGUGGGCCGCCACACUAUUGAGACUUAGAUAUGGGCGCUGAUUUUUGUGGGGAGGGAGGAUUUUCUCGCACAAGCAUGCCGAUUUUUCAUGGAAGCGCGCGCUUUUCUCACGCUAACAAUCAAAAUAUAUUACUGCAACUCACCUUUUACUUACAUGUGGCACUUAGGUAGGCAUGACUUAUCUAAUGUAGAAAUAUUUUAAAGAUGCAAAUUGUAAAUUGUCUAUAGUGUACCUCUUGACUCCAGACUUCCUAAUCAAUCGGUGACGGGUUCGACCCAAGGGAGGAGCAUGUUUUCCUCUUAUUUUCCCUCCCUUUUUUAUCAGCCUAGACAUACAUGUGGGAUCCUGAUUGAUUUACAAUAUUUUUGCAGAACUUAUAUCGUCACAAAACCACCAUGUAACACUGAGUGGCGUUUUCUAUUUGGCUUCGAUGGCACCUUUUAUGAUAUUUUGUAACUUUGUCACUAAAUUUGCUCGAAUGCAAAAUUUUAUGACGUUUUCAGCCAAAUUUAUGAUGUUUUGACAUAUGCCAUAAAAUUUUCAUCAUUGAUCGGAACAUUCUUGUAGUGUGCACUUAUUUCUUAAAUAGUUUGUCCAUUUUCGGAACCGUUUGAACUAUGAUGUUGUUUAGAAUUAAUACAACAAAACAAGAUCCAAUAUGAAUAUAUUUUUUCUAGUUUUUCUAAAUAUUCAACAUUUCUGACAAACUAUUUCAACAUUUUGAUUAUGUUAUUUCAACAUUUACAUGAAAAAUAUUGAGAUAGCUUUUGCAAAAUGUUGAACUAGCCUUAAAGAAUUGUUGGGCCUAGUAUUUUUAAAUGUUGACCAGUAAUUAUAUACUAGUCCAUUUUUAUAUUAUUUUAAGAUUUUUAUAAAAUGUUGAACUAUACUUUCGUAUUGUUGAACACAGUUUUCAAAAGGUAUUGAAUUUUAAUUAUUCUAAAUGUUGAAAGCGGAAAAUUGUAAACAUAGGAGUUAUUUACAGAGAUCAAGAAUAGGAUAAGAUAAAGGAAAAGGAGAUGUUGGCUGGCCCAGUAUGCUAUAUCAACAUUUUCGAUAUACUAUUUCAAUAUUUUAUAUACACUAUUAUCAACAUUAUUAUAUAAAAUGUUGAACUAGCUUAUUUAAAUCUUCAAUUAAAUUUGAAGAAAUGUUGAAUCUAAAACUUCAAAAUGUUGAAUAUAGUUGCUCUAACGUUUACUCAUGUUUUUUUAAAGAAAGUAAGUACCACCGGUUUUAACUAUACAAAGAGCGAGGGAUAAGCGAACUGAGUGUAGCUCAACUGGCAAGAUUUCUUACGGUGGAACCUGCCAACUUGGGUUCAAGUUCUUAACUUGGCAUUGGUGCUUACAUUUUCUUGAAUUUAUUUCAGGAUUUAAUCGGCGCUAUUUUUUCAGUGGUAGACGAUGUGCCCAUCGACAACGAGGUGCCAGUGGUGACUUUAUCAAUCUAGAGGAUUUGCUAGCUCAGUCAGUGAUAGGCGACAUGCCCGUCAACAACGAGGUGCUAGUGGUGAUUUUGUCAAUAUCAAGUGCUCAUAGAGGUAGGGUAGUGUGUGUAUGUUCGUAAGGGUGAGUAUGUGUAUGUGAGCACUAGAUUGGAAUAAAAAAGAAAAAAAUUGCUGCCCUAGCACGUGAUGAUGGGUUCAGCCUUUAGGUAUUAGGAAACGAACUUAUGCGGGGUGCAUUUUGAGGGUGUUUGGAUACAAGGUGCUAAACUUUAGAAAUGUCAUAUCAGAUGUUCGGAUGCUAAUUAGGAGGACUAAACAUGAGCUAAUUAUAAAACUAACUGCAGAACCCCUAUACUAAUUCGCGAAACGAAUCUAUUAAGCCUAAUUAAUCCAUCAUUAGCAAAUGGUUACUGUAGCACCACAUUAUCAAAUCAUGGACUAAUUAGAUUUAAUAGAUUCGUCUCGCGAAUUAGACUCAAUCUAUGCAAUUAGUUUUAUAAUUAGACUAUAUUUAAUACUCCUAAUUAGUAUCAAAAUCUGAUAUGACAGGUAUUAAACUUGUGGUUGUAUCCAAAACACCCCCUUUGCUCCUCGCCGUGCUGCUGUGUGCCUGUGUCGGACUACACGCUAGUACACUACAGCAACGCUGCGCACGGUGGAAAAAGUAAAAGGCUCCGGAAUGUUUUUGUGCUUCAUGGGCCGUUCUGGGCUUGCAACGUAUGUUCUUUGGGCUGCUGCUGGAUCAAAGACGUACUUUACUUACGUAGCAGCCGGGCGAGGUGUCGUGACCCCCCCGGGCGGCGAACGGCGACGCGUCGGGCGGCGAGGGGCAACGGCGGCGCGUCGGGCGGCGAGGGGCAACGGCGGCGCGUCGGGCGGGCGUUCGGCAGGUGGAAGGCGACGCAUCCUGCCUUGGGUGAUCGUGCUUCUGUUGCCGCGCAUCCACAGAGGGUAGUGGGCGGUCCGCCGGUGCCAGGUGAGUUGAUUGCCCUGCCCAGUUUGGGACUAGCUUUCAACUGAGGAUUCGAUGUGAUCGAUUGUCCUGUUGGGGGAUUUCUCUCUCGGUACAGGAUUCGAUUAGAGGGGCAUGUAGGUAAUCACCGGCUGAGAAAGAUUGGAAUUUGAAACCCGGUGCCUGAUUUGGGAUUUAUACAUUUCUAAUUUGUGAUGGGGAGUGUUUCGUUGUCGUUCGCGGCGAGCGGCGGCGGUCCAAUGCGCCCAGGCGGAGGAACCCCAAGGAAGCGGCGGCGGCAGUGGCGACUCCGCAGCUCCCGUGAAGUCCCACGCCCCUUGUGCCUCCCGCAUCCCAUCCGCCCCCUCCCAUCGCCUCGUGCGCUCGUGUCUCGCGGCGACACGUCCGCUGCGUCAUCGCCGCCGGAUACUUCCUCUGUCCGCGCUCACCGUCCUCGCUGGCUGGUUUCUAUCCAUUUUUUAAAGAAAGAAAAUACAGUAGUCGGAAGUUGCUGUUCGCUGCUGCUGUGGUGAAAUGGCUCCGAUUGUGGCUGCUCUGGUGGGUGGGUGGAGUGGCUCUCACUUGUCUGAUUGGAAAAACGUUUGCCUCUUCCAUUCUUCUCCGUCCACCGCACAGGCGCACACCACCGCCGCCGCCUCUGCCCUGUCGGCCGCCUCCUCGCCCACCGACCCCGCCGGCUGCCCACCACUCUCGGCCCCCUGCGCCACCGCCGUCCUCCGCCUCCCCGCACUCGCGGGCCCCCUCGCCCGCGCCGCCAUCACCCUUCGCCUCCCCUGAGCUCGCGGGCCCCCUCGCCCGCACCGCCGUCGCCCUCCGCCUCCCCUGAGCUCGCAGGCCCCAUUGCUCGCGCCGCCAUCGACUCCGCCCCCAGCUCCCUGCGCUUGCGGUGGCCUCGCCCACGCCGCCGCCGUCUCUCUACGCCCGCUGGCUGCGUCACCGUGGCCUCCAUCCUCUCCUCCCUCCUCCCACCGGCGCCCACAGCCCCACCGCAGCCGCCUCUGCCUCCGCCUCCCACCUUCCAAUCCUGCAGGCCCAGGCAGCUGCGACCUCCACCUCCACCGCGGGGCCCCCGAGGGCAAGGGUAGGAAACGACGGGGAGGAGCCACGGGGAGCCGGUUUUUUGGGCUUCUCCUCCGUCGAAUGGCUCUAGAGAGCGCGUUCUGAGGAGCUUCCGUCCCGAAGCCAUUUUGGUGGUCACCGUUUGGCAGGGCUUCUACAGAAGCCGCUCGCGGAGCCGCGGCAAAAGCCCUGCCAAAGGGGGCCAUAAUUCAGACACCCAGCUUUAAGGUUCCCUGUUGAUUGUCUACAUAAUUUCCAUAAAAAGGUUCAAACCAUCUUGUUUAGUACUCAAACCUGCAAUUCAGAGCUUAGUUCAAUUUAUGAAUGGAAACCUGCAAUUUAGAGCUUAGUACAAGUUAUGAGUGGAGAUUGAGGCCAUCUUUUGGUUGGAUUUGAAGGGAAAGAUUUGGAGGAGAACCAGUGUUAAUGUAGCGAGAGGAAUGUGUGCAUUUUCACUUGUACAUUUCUUGUGGGAGACUGCACAAUUGCAGUGCUCCCUUGCCAAAUUUAUGGUUGUAUCUUCUCUUGUGUCAGCAAUUGCUUGGGUCAACUACAAUCUGUUAGACUUGCUUAGUCAUUGGAUAGGUAGCUAGGAUUGCGUAUUUGUUAUUCUUGAUUGACGGUUUUGUUUACCAUUCUUUCUGAACAAGAGGCCAUUCAAUUUGUUUCUGUGCAACUCUUCUCAUAUCAUAGAGCGAUGUCACAAGUUAUGACUUUAGAGCUUAGUAAAAUUUAUGAAUGGAAAAUUGGAAAUUGAGGCCAUCUUUUGGUUGGAUUUGAAGGGAAACAUUUGGAGGAGAACCAAUGUUAAUGUAGCGAGAGGCAUGCAUGCAUUUUUACAUGUACAUUUUCUUGUGGGCGACUGCACAUUUGCAAUGCUCCCUUGCCAAAUUUAUGGUCGUAUCUUCUCUUGUGUCAGCAAUUGCUUAGGUCAGCUAUAAUAUACUAGACUUGCUUAGUCAUUGGAUAGGUGGUUAGGAUUAUGUAUUCAUUAUUCCUGAUCAACAGUUUGGUUUACCAUUCUUUUUGAACAAGUGAUUAUCCGAUUUUGUUUCUGUGCAACUCUUAUCAUGUUAUAGAGUGAUGUCACAAGUUAUGACUUCAUCUGUUUGCCUAAUUUCAUUUCUCUCAGGCACUAUCCCUUGCUAAUUGGAUGCUGUAUACAGAUCAAGUACGUUGGAUUUUGCUAUGGCAGCUGAGGAAGAUGUCAAGCAGAGGCAGAUCAUUGAAAAUCGUGCGAGAAAUAUAAGCCACAAUGUCCGGUGCACUGAGUGUGGUAGCCAAUCAAUUGAAGAUUCACAGGCUGAUGUUGCUAUUCUGCUUAGAAAGGUACUAACCUUUUUUACCCUUCUGCUUAGAAAGGUGCUAACCCUUUUUACCCUUGAAUGACUUGUUUGCUAGAUUCAUGGUAAUAGGGUUAUUUUUGGUCAGUCUCUAACUGAAUAAGUCAGAUUUCUGAUAUUAUUAUGUGUUCCUUUCUGUUGUUUCAUUGCAACUUUUUAUAUCUCUGGAGCAAAGUAAGAAUUACAAAAACUUGGAUAUUGAAAUGUCUUAGCUUUCACACUGUCAAUUAUACCUCAAACUCAAAGCAGCUGUAUUGCUUGGUACAUCUCUUAUAUCCAUACCUUGAAUAACUUAGGUUAACCUCUUGGUGGCUAAAGCACUGUUCUUAAAUAAGCUUUUUUAAGUUGUUCUGUAACUUAAUUCAUCAGGUUAUGAUGUUGUCAUGUGUUUGUUUCUGAUGUUUUGGUGCAUCAACCAUUCAGUUAUUGACCUAGUGCAGGUAAGACUUGUUGGAAAUUGGAAUAAUGUAGGUAUUAGACUCUCGGUUUGUAAAAAUGGAAUCUGUUUUGGCACAAUCAUUUGGUUUAAAAUAUAUUUCAUAUAAUGUUUACUGGCUUUCAGAGAUGCUCAAACUUUGAAAAAUUUUAGAUAUCUUAAGAUGAUGACAAAAACAUCUCAUUGCAUUUUAGACAGAGAUAUCUAUUACAUGUCUGGAAACAGUUUGUAUUCCUUGAUAUGUGAAGGGUCUGUUGACUCUUGCUUUCGAAAAUGUUAGUGCUUAGAUUUUGAGGUUCUAUUUAGAACUAAACUUUUUAAAACUUGGUUUGAAACUUGAACGUUCUCUAGCUAGUGGUAACGGAUGUUAAGCUUUGUGUUUCUUUUCUUCCUCUGCUAUAUUUGUAUAUAUAUAUUGUUACACAACCAUGCACAGUAGGUGAAAUGUCUGGCAACUAGGAGAAAACAACAAUCAAUAGUUAUGCUAAUUUAACAGCAUCACUUUUUCACUGUAGCUUAAUUGAUAUUUUUGGUUAGACAUUGACGAUAUGGCAUUUUGCAGCUCAUUCGUGAUGAAAUAAAAGCGGGAAAGAGUGAUAAAGAGAUCUACAAGAAACUAGAGGACGAGUAUGGAGAGACGGUCCUGUAUGCCCCUAAAUUUGAUCUUCAGACUGCUGGGAUAUGGCUUUCACCUGUAAGCCCUAAUGAGAAUCUAGAUUUUGUUCAUGUUUCCAUUUGUCUGACCUAACUGUUGUAAUGGCAUGUGCUACUCCUUAAGAGCUACUGAGCUAGUGACUCACCAAAACCCCUGAAAUCUGCUAAUCUGAAUCUGAGACGAAGCAUUUGGUCACCUGAUUGUUUCCAUCUGUGCAGAUAAUUGUGGGAGGUAUAGCAGCUGGCAUCUGGGCUUACCAAAAGCACAGGCAAAGGACAAAUGUUCACAUUAUGGCUCUGAACCUGGUCCGAGGGGUUCCGCUGACUCCAAGGGAGAAGGAGACCAUGCUAGACAUCCUUACACCUCCACCGCCUCCAAGAAAGUGGUGGUGGCCAGGCAAAUGAAGUAGUGUUCAUGCACCUAUCCUGCAUUUUGAAGUACUCGUUUUCCCAUGGUAGCAGCAUAGAAAUGAUCAGGAUGCAGAUUUUAGCUUGGAGUGUGAAUGCAUAUAUGCGACCUUUGAUCACGAAUUUCAGUUUAGCCAAACAUUUGCAAUGUGUACUCUGUACUCCAUGGAUCUAGCAGGAUUUGCUGCGUUACUGAAGCCACGCAUUUUUAGAAGAUAGGGAGAAGAUGACAGCAGUCGGCUGUUGUCUGUACUUGCUGCUGCCUGCUGCUUUUGUGAGCAGGAUCUGAAGCCUGUUGAUGAGUUAACAAGAUUAUCACUCAUUCCACUAUAUAGCCAAAACAGCAAGAUUACCACGUUUCACUGUCUUCUACCCUUUUUAUUUCCUGAUAAUGCGUGCACCUACAGUAUUCCCCUAUCUACUGAAUCCCUUUGCGUUUUUCUUCUACAUUGUCAUUUUCUCAUGCGUUUUUUAGAGCUAUUUUCUCAUGUGUUACUAAGACAACAAAUCACAUGUCAGUUUACUGCCAUGCGGCCAUGCCUAUGAGACCAAUGUUACCACUGGCUGCUGCUUUCAUUGACAAGCUUUAUGCCCCACUUGACGUCGACGCAGUGCCGGAUGUAGGGCGUCACCUUGUCCAGCUCCACGUCCCUCCCCGCCGCGCAGUCGUACGCCGACGGCGAGUGGAAGCACGGCUCGACGGAGAUGGCCCGCGGGCAUGGUUCCCGUGGGUCCAGCCCCUCCGUCCAGUCGUCGGCCCACAUGGGCGCUCUGGUCAUGACCCAGGGCCGCAGCCCGGCGAGCCCCUGCGCCACGUACCCGAACGUCGAGUAGCCGCUGGUGACGAGCUCGUCGCACAUACUCAGCAGGACCAUCUCGCUCAGCGCCCGCAUGUCGUGCGCCGCGUUGUGCCACCGCUGCCGCCCCUCGUGGCUUGGCUGGUGCACGCCGCCGCCGUACUCGUCCCUGAGCCGCUCGUAGUACCACGAGCUCAGCGACGUCACCAGGACGGCGGUGUCCGAGGACGACGUGCCGUUGGCCGCGACCGUCGUCGUCUCCUGGAGGAGCCCCUCGCCGCGGACGCACGAGAGGAGCUGAUCCAGAACGGCCUGGGGCGGCUGGUUCUUCUGGAACACCCUGAUCUGCACGCCGACGCGCCGGGCGGCGCCGGCGAGAUUUGACCAGUAGUAUCUCGUGACGGCGUGCCAGACGGGGUUCGCCGGGUGGAAGAGGUAGUGGCCGAGGUGGUAGAACACGGCGUCCUUCUCCGGGAACAUGGCCUCGAGCUCGCCGCGGAACGGCGGCGUGAGGAAGAGCCCCGGCACGAUGUAGUUGUCCGUCCACAAGAAGAGCCACGGCACCUCGCCGAGGAGCCUCUGGUGCGCGCCGCAGAAGAAGAGACUGUCGUGGAAGCCGUACCUGCCGGCGAGGUGGACGUACAGGUACGUCGGCGGCCGCGGCGCCGACCACGACACGUUCCCGUCGGCGGACACGCUGACGGGGCCGCCGCUCUGCAGCAUGUUGCCGAGGCUCUGCUUGGAGCCGCCCAGGUAGCCCUGUAGGCUCCUGAGCGGCGAGAACCAGCCGGCGCCGGCGAGCUGCAGCAGCCACGUCGUCCCCGGGAAGGGCUCGCAGAAGAGCUCGCCGGCGUCCCUGCCGCCGUCAACGAGGAGGACGCGCUCGGUGAGCACCGCGUAGAGGAAGGACGACGUGAUGGCGAGCAUGCGGUUGCCGAGGCCGCGGUAGCUGAUGUACACGAGGUAGCGGCAGCCGUCGUCGCCGCCGACGCCCUCGCCGGAAUCGAGCCGCCGGACCGCGUUCUCAUACGUCGUCGUGCCAGGGCCGCAUCGCUUCUGGAGCGCUUCUUGCUUCCGGAGCUUGGCGAUGAGGUAGGGAGACGGCUUGUGCGACGACUUCUUGUGGUAACCGGCGAACUCGUAGCGGCUCCGGCAUGACUCGAAGCUGAAGUCAGCGGUAAGAAGGCCGUCGAGGAGAUGGUCGGCGGUGAUGUUUGACGGAGGAGGUUCCCAAUCUGUUUCAUCACACGUACAGAAAAAAUAGAAAGUAUAAGCUUUAUUCCAGUAUAAAAUUUGAGGGAUUAAUUAACUAGCUUGAAUUGGCGAUUGUACUGAUCAUCAAAGAAAUUUUCUAAUUUGCAUGAGAAAUGAACUAACCUCAGUUGAAUUAUGCAAAAUUCUUCCUUGCAUUGUAAACAUGUGUUGCAGUGAGGGGUGUUUUCGUUCCUUAAUAAUCCCUCCGUUUCAAAUUGUAAGGCAGUUUGAGUUUUCUAGAUAUAUAGUUUUUCCUAUGUUUCUAGACAUAAUAUAUAUCUAUAUGCAUAGCAAAACGUAUAAAUCUAGUAAAAUCAAAAUGACCUGCAAUUUGAAAUGGAUGAAGUACUAUUUAUUAUAGUUAUUGCGUCAUGGAUACCGCGUGAACUCUGAAAUUUUUGUGGAUUUGUGUGGCUUGUCUUCUAAAGAUGGUCAGCCCCUAUGGUAUAUGGAAAUAGUAGCUUUGAAUUUGUUUUGAAUUUAUGAUGAAAUGAUAAUAAUUUAUCAACAAGUGAGAGAUGCAAACAAAACUGAAUGAAUGCAUGUGAAGUUGUGAACAAAAAUAAAUGAAUGACAUCAUUCCCUGUAAAUAUGCACAACGUGCUGUUUUUGUGGUGCUUGGUACAAAUGUUUCGUCGGGAGAUCCGGAUCUGGCCAGAGCAGUAGCAUUUUUUUUUUUUUGCCAAAUGGAUGAAUGCGUUUUUUUCCAGCCGCCUGUAGUGUAGGUGGUGUAAAAAUAAUGGCAUGUUCGCUGAUUAAAUGGUCAAACAAAGCCAUCAUAGGAUUUGGAAUUUUGGAGGCAUAUUGGACAUUACACAUCAUAUUGAAGAUAGACAUCCUGAAAAGAUGCCAAAUAAAGUGUACUUCCUCAAGAUCAGAGUCAUAGACUUGACGACAGUGGUCUAUUCUAACUGCUCGCUAGAUCAAGUAGCAGUUUAUCAUACUCACUUGUCGACCUGUUGCCCAUCCUAAGCAUAGCCAAGACCACAGUGUCGUAUCCUUUUAUUUCACUAGCCAAGAUAGCAGCAUGUUCUCUAUCCAAACAGUGUGAUCGAUUAUAAUGACUAUUACUAUUACGUAAUGAAAUGUGUUAUUCAUAUCAGCUUUAUUCUGAAUCCAAUAUAUUCAUCAGCUUUUGUCGACAUUAAGACAUCUCGAUAGUCAGUAAGUGUAGCAAGUGUGACGUCCUUAUUAGCAUUGCCUUUUGAUGUAUAACACUACAUUGCCGCACUGGCCAUCUUUAGUAUCGUCUGCAUACAAUUUGCGGUCAUAUCUUGCAUCACUGCAUCCAGAAAAGAGGUCAUUUCUACAUCUUAUAUUCCUGAUUUUCAGCAAGCCAACAUAAACGUCCUGUCACUGCCGUGCACCCUACCCUCUCAUCAGGCCUUGCUCCGCCUGGCCAUGUCUCUAGGUUGUAGCCUGUAGUAAACUCUAAUAUACUAUUCCUUCCAUUUUUAUUUAUAAGGUACACACGCAUAUCAAAAUUCAAACAUUGCAAUCUUUGACGACUAUUAAUUUUUUAUUUUUGUAAUGUAAAUUUUAUAUGGUUGGAUUCGUAAUCAAAUAUACUCUACAGUAACUAUAAAUUUAUAACCAUAAAUAAUAUAAUAUAAAAUAGAUGAAUGGUCUUAUAAAGAUAAAUGGAGGGAGUAUCUGCUAUCUCACAAUCUUGCAAUUUUGUAGAAUUUUACUUCAUCCUAUCAUAAAUAUAAGCCCACUGGCUAGUACAUCGAUAUGGCUCCAAUGUAACACUUUCAUCAAUAACAUUUGUAUAUAGUAUAUUAAUUGAAAAAAAGGUAUGUUCCACGAUAAGUCUAGAAGAAACACCUAAACUUCAUUUUGUCAAUAUGUUAUAUUUUAGCUAUUAAUAGUGAAAUUUUAAAAAAUGUUUUACAACAAACCUGUUAUACAUGUAGGAUUAGAUUAUUUAUACUUUGUCAUCGUACUUUUUUUUAUGUGGAAGGUACAUGAUGGAUCUGAAAGUUGCUACCUACAGAAUCGGAAAACACAACUUGUUCAGACUCUCUCUCACAAGAAAAAACACCUGUUCACAGUCUGUUCUCUGCACAUCAUCUGCCAUUUUAAUGCAUAUAUCACUACCGGUUCCACAUCAGGAGCCACUAAAGGGAAGAACUGACUGAUAUGGGUUCAUCACAAUCAUCCCAAGAAACCGGCUAUCAUACCACAGUCACUACUUCUCAAAAGAACGAUCGUGAUGGUCACAGUAUGUUUGUGUUCUGACUGUGAUAAUUAAGACUUGGUAAAUUAAGUGGCAUUAUUCUUCUCUUCCCUGACCACUAUAGAGUCCGAGUAGCAACUAGCUAGAUAGUGCGCAGGUCUCGCAUCGGACGUGGGGCGCCAAUCGACACGUGUUCAUAGAAAAUCCAAGUGAGAAUACAUGCAUGCAGGGGACGACCACGGUUGACCCAACGUGCGUGUGCGUGUCCUCCGGGCGGGAGUCCCGCCGCUGCCGACGUGUUCGUCGGAGGGGACGACGACGGGCACAGCACGCAUGCACGCAGCCGCCGGCUGGCCUUACAGCAGAGCUUAUCAAAAGUAUGUCGACACCGCUCGACGGACCUGGAGAUAUUCUGGGUAGCAAAGCAGGGUGGUUUUGUCUCGUAGCCAUCAGUAGACUCGCAUAUAAUAGGCCAUACCCAUCUCAUGUUUUUUAUCUCAAAAAAAUAUAAUCUGUAUCUGUAAAGAAACGCAUGGAUAUGGGAUUGAAAUCGACAUGAUUUGUUGGCUGGCACGCGUACGUUUGGUUCGGUGACAUCGAGGAGGCCAGGAGGGGACGAUCGCAGAGCACUAUGUUACGUUGUUUGUAGCAACUGAGAAUAUACGAACCUCGCGGGUCGUCGGAGAACAAGGAGGCCGGCAUCUCGUCGGGCGCGCGGCCCCACCAGCCGCCGUCGGCGGUGAGGACGAUGACGGCGGUGGCCACGGCCGCCGCGACGCAGACGGCCGGCAGGGCCCUCCUCGCCGCGCAGCUCCUGGUCCUCGACGGCCACCACGGCAACCAACUCGCCGCGGCCAAGAUGGCUGCCGCCGCAUGUGAGCUCGAGGACGCCGCCGGCGACGAUGAUGAGGAGUUGGCCUGCUGCUGCUGCUGCUGCUGCAUGGUCGACGCUCGAUUGAUCGCUUCACCGGUUGGUUAAGUUCUCUCGCUCUGAGAGCAGUUGCAGCACGUACGCGGGCGCUGUGGUGGGUCACCUGGAUAUAUGACCCGGCCGGCCGGCCGGCCACGACUUGGCAGUUGCGCGGAAUUGGAGGCUUGGACCGAAGCUGUGGUAUCUAUAUACGGUAUAUACGGCGGGGGAUACGUCAGACAUGCGCGUACGUGUGGAGAAAAAGGCCGGCAACUUGCUAAAGCUCAAGACCAAAGAUAACCACAUGGGGGACCGGAUCACGAUCGCUGUGACGCUGGAUUAUUUCGUGCGAUUCCUGUGGUGGUGUGCUGCUGGUUUUGGCCGGUCGAAACGGCCCACUUCUCGUUCCUAGUUACCUAUAAUGCAGCUGCAGGCAGGAACGUAUGGAGUUUCGGAACAGAUGACUUUAGCUACAAAUGGCAUUCUUGUGUGCUAGCACAACUUGGAUAUGAAGAGAGGACACCUGGGAGAAGAAUGAUGUUUCUUUCAAAACCUCAAGGGCAUUCCAAACAUUUCUCAGUUCGGCCUGUAUAGUAUAGGCUGCCCAACAAAAAAAACCAGACUACCAAACACCAAGCUACAUACAUCAGGUAGCCUACCCAAGCAACAGCUUCUCAAGAGAAUCUGGAAUGAUACGUAUCUUUUUGCUAGUUUUCAACAUCUGAAAGCCGAUCCAAAGUCCAAACGCCCCUAAAUUAAAGGAUUUUCGAGCGUAUGGUACAGUGCACAAAGGGCGUGCAAGCUAAGCUAGUGAAGCCUCUUUUGCUCGCUCCGUCAGUGGUUGACUUUGCUUUUUGAAUUUGCCGUGUGUUAAUUAACUGCCAUGGCCACCAGGUAAAUGUUACCAUCGGCUGCUGCUUUCGUUGACAAGCUGUAUUCCCCAGCUGACGUCCACGCACCGCCUGAUGUACGGCCUCACCCUGUCCAGCUCCACGUCCCUCCCCGCCGCGCAGUCGUAGUACGACGGCGAGUGGAAGCACGGCUCGACGGAGAGCGCGCGCCGGCACGGCGGCUCCGGCGCGGCCUGGCCCUCCUUCCAUUCCUCCCACGGCGACGGCCUCGCCAUGACCCACGGCCGCCGCCCGGCUAGCCCCUGCGCGACGUACCCGAACGUGGAGAAGCCGCUGGUGACGAGCACGUCGCACGUGCUGAGCAGGUACAUCUCGCUCAGCGCCUUCACGUCGUGCGCCGCGUCGCCCCACCGCUGCUUGCCCUCCUGGCUCGGCUGGUGCACGCCGCCGCCGGCGACCCCGCCGCCGUACUCGGCCGCGAUCCGCUCGUAGUACCACGAGCUCAGCGACGUCACCAGGACGGCGUCGUCGUUGGAUGCUGCGAUCCCCGGGAGGAGCUUCUCGUUGCGGACGCAGGAGAGGAGCUGGUCCAGGACUAGCUGCGGCGGCUGCUUCUUGUCGAACACCCUGAUCUGGAUGCCGACGACGCGCCGGCCGGCGGCGCCGGCGAGGUUGGCGCGGUGGUAGUUCGUGACGGCGCGCCAGACGGCGUUGCUGGGGUGGAAGAGGUACCGGCCGAGGUGGUGGAACGCGGCGUCCUUCUCCGGGAACAUGGCUUCGAGCUCGCCGACGAACGGCGGCGUGAGGAACAGCCCCGGCACCAGGUAGCUGUCCGUCCUCAUGAGCAGCCACGGCACGCCACGGAGGAGCCGCUGGUGCGCGCCGCAGUAGAAGAGCUUGUCGUGGAAGCCAUAGCCGCCGGAAAGGUGUAGGUACACGUACGCCGGCGGCCGCCGCGGGGACGCCCAGGACACGUUCCCGUCGGCGGACACGACGACGGCGCCGCCGCUUUGGAGCAUGUUCCCCAGGCUCUCCUUUGAUUCCCCGCCGUAAUCGUCGAGGUUCCUGAGCGGUGAACGCUUGCCGGAGGCGCGCGGCAGCAGCCACGUGGCGCCCGGGAAGGGCUGGCAGAAGACGUCAGCCGCAUCCUGCUUGCCCCAGUGGACGAGGAGGACGCGCUCCGUCAGCACGGCGUAGAGGAAGGCCGACGCGACGGCGAUCAUCCGGUUGCCGAGGCCACGGAAGCUGAUGUUCACGAGGUAGCGGCAGUCACCGUCCUCGACGCCGGUGGCGGCGCCGUCGCUGGAUUGGAGCCGCCGGAGGGCAUUCUUGUAAGCGGGCGUGCCGGGGCCGCAGCGCUUCUGGAGCGCUUCUUGCUUCCGCAGCUUGGAGAGGAGGUAGGGUGAUGGCUUAUGCGACGAAUUCUUGUGGUAACUGCCGAACUCAUAACGGCUCCGGCAGGAACGGUAGCUGAACUCAGCAGUGAGAAGGCCGUCGAGGAGAUGGUCGGCGGUGAGGUUCACUGGAGAUAUGUCAUCCGAGUCAUAUAUAUAUUCAGCAAACAUAAAAGAAAAAUGAGAAAAAAGUAAUAAUAUUUACGAUAUCAAAUGCGUAUAUAAUUAGAUCCAUCAUUGUCAUGAUACCGGACUCGAUCAAUGAAAGUUUAGUCAUUGAAAUACAUUUUUAUAAUUUACUUAUUUGAUACGUUCUCUAUAAGUUUGACUAAACUUUGAAUUAUUUGACUUAGCGUAAAUAAAAUAACUUAUAUUUCAGGAGGGAGUAUUUCUCAAAUUACACACCGUGAUACUAUUUCAAUCAAUUUCUGCAAAAUUCAUUUGUAAUUCUUGUAUUUCGAACAUGCUAUUUAUGGUAAUAAACUAAUAAUGUGAUUCCUUAAAAAAUAGGCUCAACUACAUGUCUGCAUGGACUUCCUCAACUUAGGAAUUAUACACACUACUAGAUGAUAGUGGUCAAUCAUAAGUGCUCCAUGACCAAGAUAGCAACUUGCAUUGUCCUACUUGCCGGAGCUUGGCCGCUCACCCAAAGAUCAGUGCAUACCGGGGCUUCUCCACCCAUACAACAACGGUGCAAUGAGCCAACGACGACUAUUGCACUGAUCCACUCUGAAAUGUAUGCAUCAGCUUUUGUUGACCUUAAUUAAUAAGACAUCUCAUUACUGAACUCGAUCCGGACAUCAGAUCACCUGCUCCUGUAUGAUCUCUCCCGUCUUGCCACUUUUUACCAAGUGUGGAGUCCCUUAUCGUUAUCUUUGAUGUAACAUUACAUUAAUUCCCACCGCACUGACGGGCUCAAAUAUCAUCUUCUUCUCUACCUUUUGUAGUGUGAUCUUGCAUCGCUGCCAUCCACUAGCCAAUAUCGACCUCUAUCCGCUUGGAACAAUAUAGGCUCAAAGUGCAAUGGAAAGAUGAUCCAGCCUAGGCGAACUGAAAAGUCCAAGGUACAGAUUAGACUUUUUUUUUUAAAGAAAGAGUAGAGCCAUUCAGCCAUAGGCAUGCAUGGUCGCAAAGACUACGUCAUGGUUUUUAUAGACGUACGGAGGAGGAAGAGAACCAGAAACUCUGACAAAACAAGAGUGACGAUCAAUUAUAUUUGCUGUCACGAACACUGGAAACGGAUGGACUGGCUGUUAGGUUAGUUUAAUUUUGAGGUGUUAGUCUAGGGCUCUAGGCUGUGGUUAAAGUAAAUGCACCCGUGCGCGUGCCGCGUGCGUACCUUGUGCGUCGCGGAAGAACAAGUAGUCCCGCACCCCGUCGAGCGAGCCCCCGCCGGCGCACAGCACGACGACGGCCACGGCCACGGCCGCUGCAACGCAGACGGCCGGCAGCAGGGCCUUCCUCCUUGACGACGGCGGCCGCCACCUCCUCCUUACGGCCUCCGGCUGCAGCUCGGGCGGCGACGCAGGGAACGAGCACUGGCGCUUGUCCGCGCCGCCGCCGCCGCCACCCUUCACGUCCAUGCUUUACUUCCCGCUCUUUGUUUCGCUCUCAUCAACAACUAGUUGGAGGGUACGGGGGCAGGCGAUGUAGCCUGUACUUAGAAACGAAGGGAGCGGAGCUUGGAAGCAUGCAUAUUUGUAUAUAUGGAAGAGAAGAAGGAGCGGCGAAGCUGCCUCGGUUGGGAACUCAUACACGUCCGGGCCCGGCGAGCGAGAAGAUAAGUGCGGGCUAGAAUUUCUGUGGUGCGGGCUCUGGACGCCGCGCGAGACUUUGACCAUCACGCGUCCACGGACAAUUUCUGUUGUGCUGCGGUUCGCCUUAUUCCGGUGGACAUGAAGAUUCCUGGCCUGGUAUAUGCGUCAAGUACUCAAGAGAUUCGAGUCCAAGUCCAUGCAUGCAUAUACACGGCAGCACGGGCCUCGGCUACGGAAUUCCAGCAAAAGCGAGAGUGAUCAAGUUUUCCUCACAGUUUUUGACAUGGACCAUAAGUUUUUAGAAGUUAUCAUUAAUGAUAAAUUUAACAUUAACUAUAUUUUUUAAAAAUGUUGGAUUGGCUAGAUGGACGGUAUUAAAUUUAUCAUAAAAUACUUUACGAUAAAGUAAUUUUAUAGUUUCAUUGCUUUCUCAUGUUAAAGGUAGCACUAGUAUAAAACUGACCUUUCAUCCAGGGUUUUUCUUUUGUCCCGGUUGAUUUUUGGACCCGGGACUAGUCCCAGGUCAAAAAUGAGCUACCGAAAGCCACCGACAGGGGAGCUUUAGUCCUAAUUGUAAAAAAACUACUGGGACUAAAACCUCCCAUUUAGUUCCAGUUGUAAACGCCCCGCUCCUCCGGCCCCUUAUCCUCUCCUAGUGCAGCCACCUCUCCCUUAAUUUCUCCUUGCCUAGACGUUUCUCUUCUUCCUAUCUUCUCUCCUCCUCCUCCUCCUCUCCUGGAGAGAAGUGGCAGGCGAGUAGCGGGCGCGCAGCGGGUGAGCGGCGGUGGGCCGGCACGGGCAGGCGAGCGGUGGGCGGGCGGGCGGCGGGCGAACGCGGGUAAGUGGUGGGCUGGCGUGGGCGGGCGAGCGGUGGGCCGGCACGGGCGGGUGGGCGGACAAGCAGCGGCGGGCGAGCUGUGGGCCAGCACAAGCGGACGAGCGGCGGGCAGACGCCCGCGCCGGCCUCUUUUUUAAUUUUUUUGAAACUUUUUAGUUCCAUCAACCAACCGGGACUAAAGGGGGUCUUUAGUCCUAGGUGAAUGACUCAGGACUAAAGAACCUCCCUUUGUCUCGAAAACUUAAUCCCGGUUGGAUUUUCAGGAUCUUUGGUUUUAUCCAACCGGGACUAAAGGCGCAUUUUCCACCAAUGUAGCGCCCACUGUAGAGACUAAGUUCAUGUCAAAAACUCCAUACUUUAUGAACAUGAGAGUACAGCAUGGCUCGACCAUAGACCUAUAACCUUUGAACGGAUUGAUUGUAGCAAGUUUCUAAACUAAUUUACCAUUAUGGUCUGUGUAUUUCGAGGGUAUGCAUUGUAAGGAAAAUGGCCCUACUAGGCCAUUAUGAUAUUGAUAAUUAAUGAAAACGUAGUCAUUGGGACUAAUAUGUUGCAAGAUGUACCUUUGUAGGUGUUUUAUAGGUCCUAAGAAUGAAUUACAAAAAUCAUCAAAAUGAGAAGAAAAAAAACUUAGAAGAAUUCUAUGUCAUCCAAAUGAUAGCAAAAUCCAGAGAUAGUCUUAUUCUAAGGCUUACAAAUGAUGGUAAUGAAGCUAGAACAAAGACACGUGAAGAAUUGAAGUGAAUCCUGCUAGAAUUGCGCACCGACACAAUUCAUCGACCCUUUCGGUGGUGACCAAUAAGGUCACCGAAUCAACCGAUGAUUAAAAGGACAACAGCAGGGCCAAGGAUGUGUACUGUGUGCACCAACUCAUUCGGUGGGCACAAUGGAUCACCAUCGAAUUAAUCGGUGUGAUCGGCUCGGCUUACGAUCGGCUCUGGAAGUUUUGGAGUAUAAUUGAGGCCCUAUCGAUUCAUACAGUGGGCAUAGUGACCAAGGCAUUGAUUAAGUUGGUGACAGAAGAUGAAGGAAGACAGCAGCUCAGGAGUCACCGAAUCAGUCGGUGAUGCGUGGGGCUCGGGUGUCAGUGGCUCAACGGCUAGUCGGACUUGGACCACUGCACCGAAUCAGUCAGUGACUACGGUUUUGGUGACCAUUGGAGCAAUAGCUAGUUUUUGGUGUUGGCUCUAUAUAUACCUCAUUGCCCGGGCAUUUGAGAUGUGUUAGAGCUUGGAGAAGCUAUAAGCUUGAUUCUCACAUACAAACAAGUGCUCUAGCCACCAAAGUUCUCGAGAGAAGAUUAAAUCAAUUAGCAUAAGACUUAGGUCUUGAUUAGUGCUAGUUUAGGCCUCUUAGCGCAUUGCUUUGGGGUUUAAUCUAGAGUUAUGCGAGGUUUGCACACCUCCUUUGUAUCGGUGCUUGCGCAUACCCAGAGUUGUAAAUUUGGUGCUUGUAAGUCUUGCGAGAUCCUCCAACUGCGUUUCGUGGAGUGGUCGCCGGUGCUUGUCAUAGGGAGAAGCGGCUCUAGGUGUUUUGUCGAAUCUCUACCAAGUGAAGAGUGGCAAGGAGUGUCCGAGAUAGGCUAGGCGGAGACCCACUUGUGCAUGGAGAAAGCCCAUCGGCUAUCCUACGGAGUUACUUGACCAGGGAGCUUAUACCCUUGUGCGGGUGUUGCCUUUGAGAGGAGCUCCAACAAUGAGGAUUAGUGGAAAGUUUUGCUUUUCGAUACCUCAGUAAAAAUUGCCGUAUCACCACAUCGAAGUUUGCCUUCUCUCCCUCAUUUUAUUAGCGAUAGAGAUAUAAUCUCUGAUGUAAAUUCUCAGGUUGUUCAGGACUCAGAUUCGGUUAUAGAUAAGACAGUUUGUUUAGCUUUAUCUCCAAUAUGUAAUCCUACACAACCGAACCGGACUCCUAGCAACCGCCAAUUGCAACCUAUCUGGAGUCUUUGAGAUGCUCCUAUAUAUUAACACACAACCUGUAGUAUGCUAAGAUAGGCAACUACAGUUCUACCAAUUCUUUCACGGUAUCAGAGCAACCUCUUCCUAAAUACAUCUACUGCUCACGCCUGAAACUCCACCAUGGCCGGCACAUCCUCUUCUCUCUCGGCUCAACUUGGGUCGACGAUCUCGGAGAAACUCAUGCGGGACAAUUAUGUCCUGUAGAAGGCGCAAUUCCUCCUGGUUGUUCGUGGUGCUCAACUCGUCGGGAUCCUGGAAGGCACUGUGCUGGCGCCAAGCAAGAUCUUGGAGAUUGUGGUGGAAGGAAAGAAGCAAGAAGUCUCUAACCCUGAGUACGAUUCGUGGAUAAGCAAAGACCAACAACUCCUCAGCUACCUGCUAAAUUCAAUUACCAGGGAAGUACUAGCAGGAGUGGCAACUGCGACGACCUCUGCUGAAGCGUGGAAAACGCUGGAGAUCAUGUUUGCGGCGCAAUCAAGAGCGCGGGUUACUAAUCUGCGCAUGCAACUGGCGACUCUGAAGAAGGGAAAUCUGAGUACGUCGGCUUACUUCAACAAGAUGCAAAAUAUCAAGGAUGAGCUUGCAGCCGCUGGUAAGUCUAUUGGAGAUGAUGAAGUUGUGGCGCAUAUUCUCAAUGGUUUAGAUUUCGAUUAUCAUCCUUUUGUGUCCUCUAUGCUUGGCCAUGGUGAUGCUAUUUCACUUUCGAUCUGUACUCACAACUUAUGGAGUAUGACCUGCGGCUGGAGAUGUUCCAAGAAGUGGGAUAGUUUCAAUCUUCAGCAAAUUCAGCCUCUUGUGGUCGCAGUUUCAACCGUGGAUGUGGAAACAGGGGUGGCAGUGGUGGCCGUGGUGGCCGGUUUGGCCAAGGCCGUGGCGCGCCUGGUCACGGACGUGGAGGAAAACCACAAAUCAGCAGUAACAAUGGUGCCAAUUCAGCCAAGAAAAAGGUGCAGUGUCAGAUCUGCAAGAAAGUUGGACAUUAAGCUCCAAGGUGUUGGUACCGCUAUGAUGAGGAUGAUCAGCAAUACAGCAAGACAGCAGGCGCUGUAGAAACAGGUUAUGGUUCUGAUACAAACUGGUAUGUCGACAGCGGUGCUACAGAUCAUGUGACUAGCAAAUUGGAGAAGCUGACAGUACGUGACAAGUACACCGGGCGUGAUCAAGUUCACACUGCCAGCAGAUCAGGUAUGAAAAUUAGUAAUAUCGGGCAUACAAUUUUUCAUACCCCUCAUAAAAGCUUACAUCUUAAGAAUAUUCUUCAAGUUCCCAGCUCACAUAAAAAUCUCAUUUCCGUCCACAAAUUAGCACGAGAUAAUUAUGCUUUGAAUUUCAUCCAAAUUUCUUUCUUAUCAAGGAUCAGGACACGAUGAAAAUCCUACAUCAAGGUAGAUGCAAAUAUGGUCUCUAUCCCCUAGCAUUGGAUUUAUCUAAAGAAGGUCCAUGAAAACAAGCUUAUGGAGUUAACAAGCCGUCUACUUCUAGAUGGCAUAGUCGGCUAGGCCAUCCAGCUAUUCCUAUUGUCAAAAGAGUGCUUAGUUCAAAUAAUUUGCCAUGUGCUAGUGAUAAGAAUUUAGAGUCUGUUUGCGAUUCUCGUCAAAAGGCUAAGAGACAUCAACUUCCUUAUUCCAUUUCAAAAAAAAAAAAUUCCAGUGCUCCGCUUGAUUUGAUUUAUUCUAACAUUUGGGGACCAGCUCCUGUUUCAAUUGUCCCCAUCUCUACUAUGUCAGCUUUAUCGAUGACUACAGAAAAUUUACCUGGAUCUAUCUCUUGCGCCAAAAUUCUGAUGUUUUUAGAGUCUUUCAAGACUUCCAAAAUCUCGUCGAAAGAAAAUUUAACAAGAAAAUCCUCUGUCUACAAUCUGACUGGGGAGGAGAGUAUGAGAAAUUAAAUUCCUUUUUUCAGCACAUUGGCAUUACCCAUCGAGUAUCCUGUCCACAUGCUCACCAACAGAAUGGUGCGGCAGAACGAAAGCACCGACACAUCAUCGAGGUUGGUCUAGUUACUCCUGUCCGCAUGCUCACCAACAUAAUGGUGCGGCAGAACGAAAGCACUGACACAUCAUCAAGGUUGGUCUAGCUCUCCUUGCGCAUGCUUCUAUGCCAUUAAAAUUUUGGAAUCAAGCUUUUCUCACUGCCACGCAUCUUAUUAAUCUGCUGCCAAGCAAGGUCAUAAAUUAUGAGACGCCUGCAGAGCAUCUUCUUCAAGAGAACCCAAGUUAUGAGAACUUGCGCAUUUUUGGCUGCGCAUGUUGGCCAAAUCUUCGACCAUAUAACACCAGGAAGCUUUCUUUUCGAUCUACCCAAUGUGCUUUCCUUGGUUAUAGUUCCAUGCACAAGGGUUUCAAAUGUCUCGACAUCUCCACCGGCCGGAUCUAUAUCUCACGCGAUGUUAUCUUUGAUGAAGCUGUUUUUAUGUUCGCAAAACUUCAUCCUAAUGCGAGUGCUCAACUCCGCAAGGAAAUUGUUCUUCUUCCUGAUCAUCUUCAUUAUCUGGGGGAUGAAAAUUGUGUUGCUUCUGAUAUUACUAAUGCUGCUAAUAUUCCUGGUACAAGUGGUGAUUUACAGGCAGAUGGAGAUUUGGUAGCAGAAGGGGUUCCUGGCGUUCCUCCCUUUGUUCUACUUCCACCUGCAGAAGAUCACGGCGCGGCACUCCAGGAAGAUUUGGCAGCAGAAGGUGCCGGCGGCACAGCUUCUGCGCCUGCCGCACUCGGCUCGCCCGAUGGCUCGCUCCUCGGCUCGCCUACAGUACGCGACAGCUCGCUCGGCUUGUGCGGCGGCUCACAGGUUGGCUCGCUCCUUGGCUCGCCCGGCUCACGCGGCGGCUCGCAGGUUGGCUCGCUUCUCAGCUCGCCCGACUCGUGCGGCGGCUCGCUCGUCAGCCCGCCUGCAGCGCGCUAGUCCGCCCGUCAGCUCUCCUGCAGCGUGCGCCAGCCCGUGUGACAGCCUGCCGCAUGGGGGCCCUCCGUUUUAGCUCUGUCCCGCACGCUAGGGCCUCCCACGCAAAAUCCCUCCGCUGGAUCCUCUACGGCAGAUGCGCCAGCACCAGGAUCUGGUUCUCCUGCUCUGUCUCUAGUACAACGACGACAAACAAGGUUGCAAAGUGGUAUUGUCAAGCCGAAGAAAAUGUAUGAUGGUAUGAUUCGUUAUGGUUUCUUUUCCUCUACUGGUGAACCUAAUUCUGUGCAAGAGGCUCUUGGAGAUCCUAAAUGGCAGCAAGCAAUGCAAGAAGAAUAUGAUGCAUUAAUACGCAAUGGGACAUCGCAUCUUGUUCCUGAUGACACGGGCAGAAAUUUAAUUGAUUGCAAAUGGGUUUAUAAAAUCAAGAAAAGAGCUGAUGGCAGCAUAGACAGAUAUAAAGCCAGAUUAGUGGCCAAAGGUUUCAAACAACGGUAUGGGAUUGAUUAUGAGGACACUUUCAGUCCUGUUGUUAAAAUUGCUACAGUCAGGCUGGUAUUAUCUAUUGCAGUCUCUCGAGGAUGGUAUCUUUGACAGUUAGAUGUACAGAACGCGUUCUUGCAUGGUGUUCUGGAAGAGGAAGUUUAUAUGAAGCAGCCACCAGGUUUUGAAGAUCAGAGUAAAUCAGACUUUGUUUGCAAGUUGGACAAAGCUAUUUAUGGUCUGAAGCAGGCACCUAGAGCCUGGUACUCGAGAUUGAGCUCAAAGUUGAUUAGUCUUGGUUUUGUUGCCUCUAAGUUAGAAGUUAGAUAUGUUGCUGUUUAUUUAUAGAAAAGGGAAUGUGACAAUUUACAUGCUCAUCUAUGUUGACGAUAUCAUUGUUACAAGUUCAUCAUCAGAAGCUGUUGCGGCAUUACUAGAAGACUUAAGGAAAGACUUUGCAUUAAAAGAUCUUAGUGAGCUGCAUUAUUUCUUGGGUAUUGAGGUCAAGAAAGGAAAGGAUUGCAUACUUCUCUCUCAAAGCAAAUAUACAAGUGACAUCCUGGAGCGAGUUGGCAUGACCAAGUGCAAGCCGUCUACUACUCCAUUGUCGUCGUCGGAAAAACUUUCAAGUCAUGAAGGUGAACUGUUAAGUGCUGAAGAUAGUACUCGAUAUAGAAGUGUGGUUGGAGCUCUCCAAUAUUUAAUAUUGACACGACCGGAUUUGUCAUAUUCUUCGCCCACCACACUGCAUUGGACUGCAGUUAAGUGCAUAUUGAGGUACAUACAGUACACUAUAAAUUUGAGCUUGAAAAUUUAGAAGUGUUCGUCUACUCUUGUCAGUGGAUUUUUAGAUGCCGAUUGGGCUGGAAGCAUUGAUGACAGGAGGUCUAAAGGAGGGUUUGCGAUAUUUUUCGGUUCCAAUCUUGUGUCCUGGAGUGACAGAAAGCAAGCUACAGUUUUCAGGUCAAGCAUGAAGCUGAAUAUAAAUCCAUGGCAAAUGCAACAGUGGAGAUAAUUUGGCUAGAAUGCCGAACUUGGAAUAAGAAUUAAAGAUACUUUUGUGUUGUGGUGUGAUAAUUUGGGAGCAACAUAUAUGUCUGCUAAUUCGGUGUUUCAUGCUAGAGCAAAGCAUAUAGAGAUUGACUUUCGCUUUGUUCGAGAACGAGUUAUGAAUAAUCAGCGGUUCAUUCCUUCAGGUGAUCAUGUCUUUGCGCCAGAUGAAUAAUUUUGUGCACAAUCUAAAUCUUCAGUCAACAGAAGCUUCAGAUUGAGAGAGGGUAUUAGCAAUAGAGAUAUAAUCUCUGAUGUAAAUUCUCAGGUUGUUCAGGACUCAAGUUCGGUUAUAGCUAAGAUAAGCAACUACAAUUCUACCAAUUCUUUCACAUUUACCUUCCGGAUUUCCUAUUGCACUUACAUUUCGCGUUUACCUAUCCUAGAAUUACCAUGUAUAAUUUAUAGGAUUGGAACCUAGAGUGCAAAACUUUUUCGCGGUAGAGAUAGCACCCCCACGAUAGCCGCCUUCAUCUCCUCCUUAUUACGGCCUCCGGCUGCGGCUCGGGUGGCGCUGCCCACCACAAACAGUGGCGCUUGUCUGCGCCACCGCCGGUAGUGCCGUCGCUGCCGCCCUUCACGUCCAUGAUGCUUUAAUUCUCGCUCUUUCUUUGUUUCGCUCUCAACAAGUAACAGUACUGUUAGGGUACGGUGCCACGUCGCCUAAAUUUAGAAACGAGUGAAGGGGGAGGAGCAAGCACAUGGAAGCCUGCAUGUGUGGAAGAAGGAGCGGCGAAGCUGCCGCGGUUUUGAACUAAUAAAAGGCUGGGACUCGUGCAAGGUCGGCAAGCUAGGCGAGGUGUUCGUCAGAGUCUAAGAUAAAUCUGGACGACAACUGCGCGGGACUUGGCAUCGAUUCAACUCAACGGACAAUUCCUGUUAUAUUUCGAGUCGCCGGAAUUCCGUAGACAUGAAGAUUAAUUCCUGGUAUCGCUGCAUAUGCACGGGACAGGGGCGGCGGAUUGAUCUGCGUCGUCAGCUUUGGAGAUCAGACCGACGUACGGCCGGCGAACGGCGACGUAGGAGCAUUGCGUUUCGCCUGCCGCGCGACCGGAUAGGCACAAUACAAUGGCAAGGAAGGAAACCACGUGAGAGACUGUGUGUCUGUCCCCUGGAGGCUAUAGCCCAUGUGUCCAGGAUACGUAUCGGAUGCUGGGCCAAACAACAUGUUUCCCGGCCGCCUUAUUUGACGUUGUCAAGCGGCGCACGGUUGCAUGCAUAUGCAUGACCACAAAACUGUACUACGUAGAGAGCCAAGUGUCCCCCUCAAGCCAUGUCAUGGCUUAGCUUGACAAUACCCACCGCCCACGGACUGGCUAGCUAGUUUUCCUUUCUUUUCUUUUUUUUUUGUCAUCCUACAGAACUUAAACAAAAGCUAAGACCUUUUGAAAUUAUUUCAAAACUGUGAUGAUGAAGAAUUGAAGGUGCGAUAAAAUGAGAUGGCAUAUAUCGAUCUCGUUCAAGAUUCACUUCACUAAGCACAUGAAUGCUAAACUCUCUUUUACGGUUGUUAUCCUAAGCUGUCAGUUGCAAACCCAUAUCUUUUUAUGUUAAACAGGAGGGGUUUUGAAACAUGGGCGCACGCCUGCUUAAGUCUUAGUGCAUAAUUUCAUUACAGUGUUAGGUCAAUCUCAGUGCACAGUUUCAUUGCACUGUUAUCAAGAUUGGAAACUAGAUAACUGUACCUCUUGAGUGUUAUUGGGAUGAAACUCCUCUCCUAUAUGGUGAAACUCCCCAUUCUCUCUUCAUAAAAUCUUUGCUAAGUCAGUAAAAAUUAUUAAUGAUGAAAUUUAAUGCUCAUGAAACUCUUACUAAGACCGGCAUAAGGCAUUGUCAAUGUCAACGGCUGCCAGCAGCACCCAAUGCAACUUGUUUUUAUAAGGAACAAAACCCCACGGCACACUGCACUAGCCAAGCAUAGCCACAAUCUAUGGGCAUGUUUGGAUCCUCGGGCUAGAGUUUAGUUCUUCUCGAAUGUUCGGAUGCUAGUUAGAAGGACUAAACAUAAGCUAAUUAUAAAAAUAAUUGCAAAAAUCCUGGGCUAAUUCGCGAUACGAAUCUAUUGAGCCUAAUUAAUCCAUCAUUAGCAAAUAGUUAUUGUAGCACCACAUUGUCAAAUUAUAGACUAAUUAGAUCUAAUAGAUUCGUCUCGUGAAUUAGCCUCUAUCUAUGUAAUUAGUUUUGUAAUUAGCUUAUAUUUAAUAAUUCAAAUAUUAUGACUACAAUUUAUCCCAGCAGGGCUGACUGAAGGAGCUCGCGAUCACAUAAGCGUGUGCCGUGGGCUGUAGAAACUACUGCGUGUAAAGAUUUUUUUUUUUGGCACGACUUGACCACUAGUGGUUGACCAGCUUUGCCGUCAAGCAUUGGAAGUCAUACGUUGCCCGCGGAUUGGACACAUGAUCGAAUCCCCAAUGAGCCCCACGAGGCCAUAACCACGUUAUUCCGGCUCAAACUGAGCUGUACCUCACCCAUCAAAUUGUUAUAUGAUUCCUAUACAUUUAGUGAUGGAUCUAAAAAAAUAUUAGAAGGGGCUCUUCCCUUAUCUUCUACCUCUAGUCUCUCAUUUCAAGCUUCAAUGGAUGUAAAUUUGUAGGGGAGGGUUAGGAGGAGCUCCAUAGUUCUAAGUAACGGUAGGGAGGAGCUCGAGCCCCGUCCACCCUGGUGCUAGAUCCACCCCUGUGUACAUUGUUACUUAGCUAUAGCAUUGUGCCCUCAUGAUGCAUGGUCAUCGUUUCACAUUUUCACUACCAAUUGGAAUAUGAACAUAACCCCGGAAAUAUUGUCCUUUAUUUGAAAGAGAACAUCUCCUCUAGAAGAUCCAGCAAACGGAGGUGCCAAUGCUGUAAGAAACAUGAAGUUACGCUGCUUAACUAAUGGAAUUUUGUGUACAAGUAUUCAGAUGCACAAAUAGACAAUAUGAUACCUGGAGUUAAGUUUCAGAAUUUUGCAUCCGAAUAAGUGGCACUUAUCAUAUUUCUAUCUAUAUAGGUAUAGUUUUGCAAACUUUUGUUCCAGACAAUUAUUUCUGUUAAAACAGAAAUUAUUAAAUAUAAAAAUGAAAAACAAUUCUCAAAAUUUCCAAAAGGCCCACUCCUCUCCAUUCCUCAGCCCACCUAACCCACAGCCCAACUCGGUCCUCCACUUGCGAUCACAUUGGCACCACCGGCGGCACCACCCUACUACCUCUGUCCCAGUGUCCACUCUGCAAGGAGCAAUUGGUUUUUCACUUUUUCCUUCUUCUUUUUUUCUGUUUGCUAAAUACGCCUUUUAACGGCUCGGAUUGCCAUAAUGAUGAGGACAUCCCUCCAUCUGACACAAUCCCUGUUGCAAAUCCUAUCGGAAUAUCGGGCCUAAAUACCCCAUUACAUAAGAUUUGCACUCUCGUAUAUUUUGAUUAGCGCCAGACAGUUUGAUUUGCUCUGUUUCAGACAGAUCAUAGGAGAUUAGGAGACGACAUGAAGGCACAGCGAAAUGGUCCGAACUCUGUGUGCAGGAGCGAUUAUUACAAGUUUGUGCACAUGCAUAUAACAUCUGGCACGAUAAUAGCAGACAUAUACAGUACAAUAUAAUUCUUCCUUUUUAACGAACCGCACGUUGCAUUGCAUCUGAUCAUACGCUCGGUGAUGUCUCCUUGGUGCUGAGCAUAAUCAAACGUAACGACUCCAGGCUUCCACAGUUGGUGCUUCCACUCCAAUGUUCUUCAUGUCUCUGAUGUUUGCUGGGCAAAAUAAAGCACGUAGAUGACACCAGUAAUCUCAAAGAAACAGAUUAAACAGAGUGAAUUGACAUAUUAAAAGGUUCAGUUUUUGUCAUCUAACAAACAUUGGAGCUAUAUUUUAUUAUGAGGUAAUACUGGUACUACAAUAAAGUGGAUGAGUAAGUUAUGGGGGAGUUCUCACACAAAUGGAUUUCUUGAUUAGCACCAGCCGUUGCAUCAACAAUAACCGUAACUUUCUCAUAGUCCAGUGCGACGGCAUCAAAGACAGUCUGCCGGACACAAUUUGGUGUCUGAACCCCUGAAAGUUCAACACAUAUACACACAAAAAAAUAUAUUUUUAUAUGAGAGGAAAAUGGUAGAACAAGAAAAUAAAAUUAUUGAUCCAGUAUAGUAGUAUACGUGCUUACCAACAACAACCAGGUUCUUGAUCCCUGAGGUUUUAAGGACCGAAUCCAGGUUCGUCGCGAAGAAAGAGCUGAACCUUGUUUUCACCACCUUAUAGUCCUCUUCUUUGACGACAAGCCCAUCGGCCAUCUCUGCGCCUUUGGAACCUUU
rnacentral:lncRNA from 1 species